rnacentral:lncRNA from 1 species
GGCCGAGAAGGAGGCCAAGUCGCCCAAGAAGAAGACCUCCACCAAGUCCCCCAAGAAGAAGGUCGCCGCCAAGGAGUAGAAUUCCCCAUAGCAUAGCCAUUGUUGCUUAGAUCCAUUUCUCAUGGACAAGAUGAGCAGUCUUUUGGUUAGUUAGAUGAGUAGUGGUUCUGCCCUUAGAUUCGCUGAGAAAGGGUGGCAUUAUGUCUGUGAUUUCUGUAGGAAUGGCUAAAUAUGCAAUCGCUCAGAUCUUAAUUCUCUUGUUCUAUCUGUGGGUGAAAUUGAUCCUGUUAAUCCUUGCUUCCUGUGCUGUUUUAUCCUAGUACUAAAUUCUCACUUAUAUCGGCUGAAAAAUCCCCCAAUUCUUUGCUCUCUGAAUUAUGGUGCUCAAUUGCAAACACUGAUUGUAAAUUCCUUAUGAAGAUCAACACAAUCAUAUUACUAUUGAGCUGCAGAGAAAAAAUUCGCACCUCAUGAUCAGCUUUCUGUCAGUCAGCACCACCAUCUUAGACUUGCUCAAGCAUGUACCAACGAACCACAAAAGCCAUGCCAAGACAUUCCUGCAGUUAAUUUCGCCUUGAUCUUUCCCUCUGUAGUUGAGUUCUUUACAUGUUGUAUUCACAGGCCAAACAAAUUCUUCCGGUUGGAGUUGAGCCGGCCGUAUGCAAACUGAAGUUUGGGGAGUCAGGACUCAGGUGUAUGUAACAAACCACAAACCAGAUUUAUGAUUUAUGAGCCACUAGCCAGAUAAGGUACUAAUUUAGAUUGACCUAAAGCAGAAACAAACAUUGAGGAAUUAAGAUAGCAACCAUGCUCAUGUAAGAAAACUGAUAUAGUGAUGUUUCACUUCGUUCCAUCAAUAAAAAAAUAUUUUUCUGAAAGUAAAAUUGGUAACCACCAUGGAAAUACAACAGGUACAAAUCUCAGUAAAAAAACUUUGAAUUGAACACAUUGAUUCUCCGCUAAAUCGCUUGCAACCAAAACUAGUACCGAGUCCAUGGAAGGUCUUGUGCUAAGGAUAUAGGUUUUGUGUACGCUUCUCUUGUUUUUCAUGCUGUUUUCGAGGGUUUAUAUCGUUUUUUCCAUUAUAUUUUUCUGUUUGUUACAUUUUUCUUUUGCUGAAUUCCAUUUUAUUGUUUCAUUUUUUAUUUUUCCUCUGUUGUCUCUAUUUAUUUUUCCUAUUCGUCUUCUUUCAAAGUUUUCCCUUUUUACUUUUUCGUCGACUUUCUCUUAUUUGUUUUUGUUUUGUCUCGGAUUUUUAGUACUUUUUAUAAAUAUAUUUUUUAAAAUACAUAUUUUUAAAAAUAAAAACAUGAACCGUUCUUAAAAUGGCACAUACAUGUUUUGUAAAAACUUUAUGAGAAAACUUUUCAAAUGACCCAUCACUUUUAAAACAUAAAUAUUUUUUCAACACAUCAACACUUUUAAUAACUACAUUAAUAACUUUUAAGAAUUACAAUUGUGAACACUUCUAGAAAUUAAGAACAUUUAUUUUAAACAUGCAAGCUCUUUUUUCGAAUUACAUUAGCACUUAAAACAACUGAACAUAAAUCACAAUAACACUUUUUAAGUCUAUUUGGAUAUUUUUUAAUGUGCAAAUUUAUUUCAACAUUAGAGUAUCACUUUUUAAAAAUAUGUGAACACUUUCUUGUAACUUCAUGAACAUGUUUCAGAAUGGAGCAAACAUUUUGUUAAAUGAUACUAUAUAAAAUACAUGAAACAUUUAUCAGGUUACUUUAAUUAUAGUAAAGAAAUGCAUGACCACUAAUUUAAAAACUUGAUCUUUUAAAAUCUACAUGAACAUUUUUUUUAAACAUACAAAUAUGUUUUGAAAGCCACGAGCAUUAUCAGAUACAUUUUAUAAAAUUACAUAAAAAGUUCAUCUGUGUGAAAAAUUGGUAGCACAAAUAUUUUUAUUUUUUUAACUUAUUUAUUUUACAUUGUACUUAUAAAAGCGACAAAAAACAUAAAACCAUUGGGGGUGAAGAGACUCACUCACGCCCGGCCACUCGCAUCUGGUACUCAGUUUUUUUCUCGAUGUAUGGACUCAGGUACUCCUUUCAUUCCAUUUUCUUGUCGUAGUUUUAGUUCAAAUUUAGUGCUUACCAGUUAACUAUACCUUCGUGUUGCAUACAUGGGCUAGUCCAAAAUAGAACAUACGUUAGCGGCGCACGUGUUGAACACUAUACCACCAUUGGCGCCUGCUUGUAAUUACGAUGCUCAGUUGAACGGUGGCCCAGUAGGGAUUGCUCCUCGCUCUGCCCAAUGUAACAGCGCCAUUCGCAAAGGCUAUAUCUCUUUUACUGUUUCUCUCAAAAAUAUAUUUCUUUUUUUUUGCAAUGAAAAGGGAGUUUUAUUCCGUAUUUAUUGGGUUACAAUCAAAGAGGCAAUAAUUCCCCAAUACAUGGAGGUGUAUGACCUAGUCACACCUCGGUGGCAUGUUCCGAACGACUAUAUUGAUCUCGUCUAAGUUUCUGAGGAUGUAGCAUGUACUCACCUCUGGCGCUUGGGGUGCUCACAUCUUAGUGGGCCAGUCCAUUGAACCCAUUUUGGGGCGGUUCUCACGAUUGGGUUUUAGAACCUUCCUUGCAGUUUUUUAUUUUUGUUUUUCUGUGUAUCAAAUACAGUACAUGAAAACAUUUUUCAAAUACAUGUUAUGAAAGCAAGUUAAAUAUUUUUCAAACACAUGGUGACUAUUUUUUGAAUGGAUGAAACAUUUCUUUAAAAAUAGAUGAAGAAUUUUCGUACAAUAUAUAAUUUUUUUUCUGAAAUAUAGGUUUGAAUGUUCUUAUGCCUACAUUAAAACUUUUUGCAAAUUCAUGGGAAUUUUUCCAAUGAUAGGAAACAAAAAAUUUAAACUACGUGAUCAUUUUUAUGCAUUGUACAACCAUUUCUUAAAAUUUUCAUAAACUUAUUUCUGAAAUGUGUGAACAGCUUUUUAAAUUUCACAAUUUCUUUUGAAUGAAACGAUUUUUUAAAAGAUACACAUAUAUUUUCUCCAUUGUUCAAACGUUUUUAAAAAAUGGUAAGUACAUUUUUUUGAAACACACAAACAUUUUGAAAUUGUCACCACCAUCUUGUUGAAUAGUAUGACAUUUUAAAACAAUUAUGCAAACAAAUGUUUUAUAUUGUGUUAGCAUUUUCUAAAUGCUAGAGCAGUAUUUAAAAAUUUUCAAGUUAGUUAAUUGUUGAAUAUAUAUAGCAUCUAUUGUUGUGUUUUCAAAAUCAUAAAAAGGUAAAAAAACAAUGAAACAAAUGAAACUAACGAACCUAACACUUUUGGGUCGGCCCACCAUACGUCGUGCUUAAGGCAAGGUGUUGUUGGUCUUGUAGAAGCGAGAGAAAGCAUCACACUGCCCAAUAUAGAGCAUCUUCAACUGCUAACAAGGAUUAUAUAGCGCUUAUUGCGAGAAGUUCCGAAUAAGUAGGGUCAAUAGUUCAGCAUUUAGGUCGUAACAUUUAGCAAUAAAGGAAUCUUAGACUCAACAAGUGCUUUCCGAACCUCACCAACCAACCUGGAUUUUGAUUCUUUUUUGUUAUUCUAACCGGAUAUAAAAACCAUAAAGAUUGUUUCCAGCCGAGUACCCAUAUGACAUAAGCGCUCUUGGGUGGGGUGGGCCCUCAUUCUCCAGGUCUUUGAGUGCACGUCGUACCACGUGGUUGGUACACUAGGCGAAUAGAUACUUACUUUAAGGAUUUGGCACCUUUGCUAGAUGGAGAUUAAGUGACUUCUAUUAGCACCGGACCAUCGAGUCGAAUUUCUCGUGUCAUGUGCCUAGCCUCACCACUAGCGAAGUAGCCGACUCAUUAAACCACUUUUUGGGAUGGGAAUGCAUAGAAAGAAAAGAAAGAAACAAACCAAAUGAAUAAACGAACGAACUUACAACCGGGUCAGCCCACUAGGGAUCGAGAUAUAGCCUGUGUCCCUGACAGGACCUCCUAUUUGACCGGAGUCAACACACAGAUGGCAAUGGGGCCCCGAAACCCGCGUCCCCGUGGGUUUUACCCUAUUGGGGGACGGGGAUAGGCAUCUUUUCAUCCCCGCGGGGCUGUUGUUGGGCACAUUAUACAACCCGACACGUUUCGUGGGUUUACACACGUUUCGGUAGUCCCCGAACCCGAAACCCGGCAAUACCCGCGAAAUUACAUUAUUUUUUACCACCGUAGCCAUCUUACCCCCGAAAUCUUAGAGGCCUUGAUGUGUUCAAUAUUGGAUAAGAAACAAAUAUAAAGGUGUGUCUUUCUUUACAUAUCAUCAUAAAGUUUAUCAUUAUCUUGCUACAAUGUUUCAUAAGAUGUUCAUUACUACUUAUUUGAUUCUCAUAGAUGCUGAAAAUGAAUAAGGACAAAGCUUUUGGAGUUGUUUUCAAGACAUUCAAGAGGGAAUGCAGGUGAAGUACAGGUACUUGCAAAUUUCAUAUACUAAUCUACAUAUUGUUCUCAUGUUUAACUUUAGCUUGAGUGAAUUUUGAUCUUCCCUAGGACUUGGCAUUUUGAUUUGGCAUUGGAAGAUUUGAAGAUGGUCGUUUGGAGGCUUGGAGAUGUGAAAGAUGCCAUGAUGAUUCCAACUUUAAAGUGAUUUGUGAACUAUAAGUUCUAUUUCCGAACUUAUAUAGCCGUUGAACUAUCUACUAUUGUUUUUUGUUGAAAUUUACUCAAGUUAUGCUGCUGAAAUGUGCUUGUUUUGCUGCUGAAGUGUUAUUCCUUGUCGCCACUAUGUUUGUUUAAAUAUUUUGAUUUUAUCGUGGGUUCCCCGAAAUCCGAUGGGUUUAGGGGACGGGCUGAAAACUAGCCUCGCACACAAUGAUGGGGACGGGGAUGGGUUUACGAUUUUCUCAUGGGGAUGGGUUUGGGAAGGCAAAACCCGAUGGGUUUCGUCCCUGUUGCCAUCCAUGCGUGUGUUGAUGGGCCGACUCAUUAGCAUUAUGCGGUAGCAAGCCGAAAGCAAUAGAGUUUUCUUGAUGAUGUAUGGUAGCGAACCGAUGAACUGUAGAAAACGAGUGUAUUAUAUGUAGCGAGCCAAUUUAUCUUAGCAGUAGAUGCACUAUAUCGACCGGGAUAAUGUAGCAAGCAUUUUUAAAAUAUUGAGAAAAUGUUAUUGAAAUUGUGAACAAUCUUUGAAAACACAGACAAUUUUUAAAACGCUGAAUAAUUUUUGAAAGAUUGGAUAGUUUUCAUUUUUUUAAUGAUUUUUAGCAAUUCCAUUCAUUUUUGAAAAAACAAACAAUUUUUAAUUACAAAACUUUUAAAAGAAUAUGAACAUUUUUCUCAAAAUUUGAACAUUUUUUAAGUUCCAAUUUUUUUAACGAUAUGAUUUUUAAAAGAAAUUCUAAACAUUGUAUUUAAUAACAAGGAUGGAUUGUCAUCUAGCUACUGCCAUGUACCCAUAGUCCAAAGAAAACUACUCAUGUGAAAUUAUGGUAGUAGCAAGGUUUAUGUUGAUGGCUGCCGUGAUGAAUUCCCUCAUGGAGAGUAUGGGAAAAUGCAUAUAGAUUGGAUCAUGACGGGACAUAGAGGUGUGGCUGUGAAUUGUUUGCCUCUAUAUAAAAUCGGUGUUUUCGUGCAAUUAUAAAGGUGGAGGUGCCGAGAGGUGGUGGAGCGGAGUCCCAUGGGGCCCAUGUGGACACCCCUCGCAUCGUGGGGCCCAUAUGACUCUCCAAGCAGGGCUAGGUGCCUCUGGAAGCUUCUGGACUUGAAUCAUUUUUGGGAAUUGCCCCCCUUUUUGAGCUUGUGAAAAUUGAUUUUACUUAAAAGCCACAAAACUACACAAAACAACAUUUUGUCCUUGGACCGAAUUAAUAGGUUAGUUCGAAAAAAAUUGGUGCUAAAACUAUGGAAAAUAACGUAAUUAUAUUAUGAAACAAGCGAAAAUUGUGCACACAUCUAAGACAUAUGAAAAGCACUCGAGUGUAAAUACCAAGAAUUCGCGACAAAAUCAAGGAACCUCGGGAUGGCUGUGAGUACAUAUGGACUGAAUUCGUUUGUGAACUAGCACAUAACAUAACACAUGGCGUGUGUUUGUAUGGUUAUACAACCCCAUGGCUCUACAUAAAGCGGAAGUAUAUACACACAUGGUUAUGCUAAUUCAAGGGCCGACACAACCAAGGAACAAUAUUAACUUGUAUCUCCAGCUAUUGAAGGAUGAUGUACACAUCAUGGGCUGCUGGAGGGGUCAAUACCUGGGAUGCCAAUGAAGGGGAUCAUUUCCCUACAAGAGUUGUGCUGAUCACAAUGGUGCAACGCUAUCUUGGUUAUGUAUAUGUCUCCUGCAGGUAUGCCAUGGGCACUGCAAAUGUGUUACGUGUAUGGAUGAUACAACUUUUGACGAGACAUCAAAAGCCAGCUCUUGCAAAAUUGUGUUUAUGGGGCGUUGAAAGUGGCUUCAGAAGGAUGUAGUGGAUAACUCGCAAAGAUCUGUUCGACAGUAAAACUCAAGACCGAUUAAAGUCACGUACAAGAAGCGAAGAAAAAAAGCCGCCAUAUGUUGAACGACAGAACUAGUGCCCUAAGUCAGGAUAGAAGCAAAAGGCCCCAUAGAAGUCAUUGUUAACAAUAUGAAAAAGGGAGUCUGCUUUUUGGGGCUUGUCGUAUUGGAUAGUUCCCGAUACACCUCGUUGUCUUGAUGUCAUGCAGCUCACAAAGAAUGUCUAUGAGAGUUUGCUUGGCACAUAGUUUGACAUGUCGAAAAAAGAAAAAGUUAGGUUGAAGGCAAGAUAAGACUUGGAAGACCUUGGUAUUAGGGCUGAGUUGCACGCACAUCAUGAGUAGAGGAAACAACCACGUGCAAUUUUUUUCUUCCAAAAUUCAAGGAUGACAACUCCCUCUGUUGGGGAACGUAUCAGAAUUUUAAAAUUUUCUACGCAUCACCAAGAUCAAUCUAUGUAGUCAUCUAGCAACAAGGGAGAGAGGAGUGCAUCUACAUACCCUUAUAGAUCGCGUGCGGAAGUGUUCAAAAGAACGGGGUUGAUGGAGUCGUACUCGACGUGAUCCAAAUCACCGAUGACCUAGCGCCGAACGGACGGCACCUCCGCGUUCAACACACGUACGGUUGGGAAGACGUCUCGUCCAACUUGAUCCAGCAAGGGGGAAGGAGAGGUUGAUGAAGAUCCAGCAGCACGACGGUGUGGUGGUGGAAGCAACGGUGAUCUCGGCAGGGCUUCGUCAAGCACAGGGAGAGGGAGGAGUGUCACGGGAGGGAGAGGGAGAGGCCAGGGGCUAGGGUGCGGCUGCCCUCCCUCCCCCCCACUAUUUAUAGGACCCCUAGGGGGGCGCCGGCCCUAGGAGAUGCCAUCUCCAAGGGGGGGUGGCGGUCAAGGGGGUGGCUUGCCCCCCAAGGCAAGUGGGGUGCCCCCCACCCCUAGGGUUUCCAACCCUAGGCGCAGGGGGAGGCCCAUGGGGGGCGCACCAGCCCACUAGGGGAUGGUUCCCCUCCCACUUCAGCCCAUGGGGCCCUCCGGGAUAGGUGGCCCCACCCGGUGGACCCCCGGGACCCUUCCGGUGGUCCCGGUACAAUACCAAUUACCCCUGAAACUUUCCCGAUGGCCGAAACUUGACUUCCUAUAUAUAAAUUUUCACCUCCGGACCAUUCCGGAACUCCUCGUGACGUCUGGGAUCUCAUCCGGGACUCCGAACAACUUUCGGGUUACCGUAUACUAAUAUCUCAACAACCCUAGCAUCACCAAACCUUAAGUGUGUAGACCCUACGGGUUCGGGAGACACGCAUACAUGACCGAGACGACUCUCCGGUCAAUAACCAACAACGGAAUCUGGAUACCCAUGUUGGCUCCCACAUGCUUCUCGAUGAUCUCAUCGGAUGAACCACGAUGUCGAGGAUUCAAUCAAUCCGUAUACAAUUCCCUUUGUCAAUCGGUACGUUACUUGCCCGAGACUCGAUCGUCGGUAUCCCAAUACCUCGUUCAAUCUCGUUACCGGCAAGUCACUUUACUCGUACCGUAAUGCAUGAUCCCGUGAUCAACCACUUGGUCACAUUGAGCUCAUUAUGAUGAUGCAUUAUUGAGUGGGCCCAGAGAUACCUCUCCGUCAUACGGAGUGACAAAUCCCAGUCUCGAUUCGUGCCAACUCAACAGACACUUUCGGAGAUACCUGUAGUGUACCUUUAUAGUCACCCAGUUACGUUGUGACGUUUGGCACACCGAAAGCACUCCUCUGGUAUCCGGGAGUUGCACGGUCUCAUGGUCUAAGGAAAUGAUACUUGACAUUCGGAAAAGCUACAGCAAACGAACUACACGAUCUUUGAGCUAUGCUUAGGAUUGGGUCUUGUCCAUCACAUCAUUCUCCUAAUGAUGUGAUCCCGUUAUCAAUGACAUCCAAUGUCCAUAGUCAGGAAACCAUGACUAUCUUUUGAUCAACGAGCUAGUCAACUAGAGGCUCACUAGGGACGUGUUGUGGUCUAUGUAUUCACACAUGUAUUACAAUUUCCGGAUAACACAAUUAUAGCAUGAAUAAUAGACAAUUAUCAUGAACAAAGAAAUAUAAUAAUAACCAUUUUAUUAUUGCCUCUAGGGCAUAUUUCCAACAGUCUCCCACUUGCACUAGAGUCAUUAGUCUAGUUACAUUGUGAUGAAUCGAACACCCAUGCAGUUCUGGUGUUGAUCAUGUUUUGCUCUAGGGAGAGGUUUAGUCAACGGAUCUGCCACAUUCAGGUCCGUAUGUACUUUACAAAUCUCUAUGUCUCCAUUUUGAACACUUUCACGAAUGGAGUUGAAGCGACGCUUGAUAUGCCUGGUAUUCCUGUGAAACCUGGGCUCCUUGGCAAGGGCAAUAGCUCCAGUGUUGUCACAGAAGAGAGUCAUCGGGCCUGACGCAUUGGGUAUGACUCCUAGGUCGGUAAUGAACUCCUUCACCCAGAUUGCCUCUUGUGCUGCCUCCGAGGCUGCCAUGUACUCCGCUUCACAUGUAGAUCCCGCCACAAUGCUUUGCUUGCAACUGCACCAGCUUACUGCCCCACCAUUCAAAAUAUACACUUAUCCGGUUUGUGACUUAGAGUCAUCCAGAUCUGUGUCGAAGCUAGCAUCGACGUAACCCUUUACGACGAGCUCUUCGUCACCUCCAUAAAUGAGAAACAUAUCCUUAGUCCUUUUCAGGUACUUCAGGAUAUUCUUGACCGCUGUCAAGUGUUCCAUGCCGGGAUUACUUUGGUACCUUCCUACCAAACUUACGGCAAGGUUUACAUCAGGUCUGGUACACAGCAUAGCAUACAUGAUAGACCCUAUGACCGAGGCAUAGGGGACGACACUCAUCUUUUCUCUAUCUUCUGCCGUGGUCGGGCAUUGAGCCGUGCUCAAUCUCGUACCUUGCAAUACACGCAAGAAUCCCUUCUUUGACUGAUCCAUUUUGAACUUCUUCAAUAUCUUGUCAAGGUACGUACUCUGUGAAAGACCAAUGAGGCGUCUCGAUCUAUCUCUAUAGAUCUUGAUGCCUAAUAUAUAAGCAGCUUCUCCAAGAUCCUUCAUUGAAAAACACUUGUUCAAGUAGGCCUUUAUGCUUUCCAAGAAUUCUAUAUCAUUUCCCAUCAACAGUAUGUCAUCCACAUACAAUAUGAGAAAUGCUACAGAGCUCCCACUCACUUUCUUGUAAAUGCAGCCUUCUCCAUAAGUCUGCGUAAACCCAAACGCUUUGAUCAUCUCAUCAAAACGAAUGUUCCAACUCCGAGAUGCUUGCACCAGCCCAUAAAUCGAGCGUUGGAGCUUGCACACCUUGUCAGCAUUCUUAGGAUUGACAAAACCUUCCGGCUGCAUCAUAUACAAUUCUUCCUUAAGGAAACCAUUAAGGAAUGUCGUUUUGACGUCCAUUUGUCAUAUCUCAUAAUUAUAGAAUACGGCAAUUGCUAACAUGAUUCGGACGGACUUCAGCUUCGCUACGGGUGAGAAAGUCUCAUCGUAGUCAACCCCUUGAACUUGUCGAUAACCCUUAGCGACAAGCCGAGCUUUAUAGAUGGUUACGUUACCAUCCGCGUCUGUCUUCUUCUUAAAGAUCCAUUUAUUUUCUAUGGCUCGCCGAUCAUCGGGCAAGUCAGUCAAAGUCCAUACUUCGUUUUCAUACAUGGAUCCUAUCUCGGAUUUCAUGGCUUCCAGCCAUUUGACGGAAUCCGAGCCCGCCAUCGCUUCUUCAUAGUUCGAAGGUUCACCGUUGUCUAACAACAUGAUUUCCAAGACAUGGUUGCCAUACCACUCUCGUGCGGAACGUGUCCUCAUGGACCUACAAAGUUCAGUAGCAACUUGAUCUGAAGUUUCAUGAUCAUCAUCAUCAACUUCCUCUCUAGUUGGUGCAGGCACCUCAGGGAUAUUUUCUUGAGCUGCGCCACUUACCGGUUCAAGAGGUAAUACUUCAUCAAGUUCUACUUUCCUCCCACUUAUUUCUUUUGAGAGAAACUCUUUCUCUAGAAAGGACCCAUUCUUGGCAACAAAGAUCUUGUCUUCGGAUCUGAGGUACAAGCUAUACCCAAUAGUUUCUUUAGGGUAUCCUAUAAAGACGCAUUUUUCCGAUUUGGGUUCGAGCUUUUCAGGUUGAAGUUUCUUGACAUAAGCAUCGCAUCCCCAAACUUUUAGAAACAACAGCUUAGGUUUCUUCCCAAACCAUAAUUCAUACGGUGUCGUCUCAACGGAUUUCGACGGAGCCCUAUUUAAAGUGAAUGCGGCAGUCUCUAAAGCAUAGCCCCAAAAUGACAGCAGUAGAUCGGUAAGAGACAUCAUAGAUUGCACCAUAUCCAAUAGAGUGCGAUUACGACGUUCGGACACACCAUUACACUGAGGUGUUCCAGGCAGCGUGAGUUGUGAAACUAUUCCACAUUUUCUUAAGUGUGUGCCAAAUUCGUGACUCAAGUAUUCUCCCCCACGAUCUGAUCGCAAGAACUUGAUUUUCCUGUCACGUUGAUUCUCAACCUCGCUCUGAAAUUCCUUGAACUUUUUAAAGGUCUCAGACUUGUGUUUCAUUAAGUAGACAUACCCAUAUCUACUCAAGUCAUCAGUGAGGGUGAGAACAUAAUGAUAGCCACCGCGAACCUCAACACUCAUUGGACCGCACACAUCAGUAUGUAUGAUUUCUAAUAAGUUGGUUGCUUGCUCCAUUGUUCCUGAGAACGGAGUCUUGGUCAUUUUACCCAUGAGGCAUGGUUCGCACGUGUCAAAUGAUUCAUAAUCAAGAGACUCCAAAAGUCCAUCUGCAUGGAGCUUCUUCAUGCGUUUGACACCUAUGUGACCAAGACGGCAGUGCCACAAGUAUGUGGGACUAUCAUUAUCAACCUUACAUCUUUUGGCAUUCACACUAUAAAUAUGUGUAACAUUACGCUCGAGAUUCAUUAAGAAUAAACCAUUCAUCAACGGAGCAUGACCAUAAAACAUAUCUCUCAUAUAAAUAGAACACUCAUUAUUCUCGGAUUUAAAUGAGUAGCCAUCUCGAAUUAAACGAGAUCCUGAUACAAUGUUCAUGCUCAAACUUGGCACUAAAUAACAAUUAUUGAGGUUCAAAACUAAUCCCGUAGGUAAAUGUAGAGGUAGCGUGCCGACGGCGAUCACAUCGACCUUGGAACCAUUCCCGGCGCGCAUCGUCACCUUGUCCUUCGCCAGUCUCCGCUUAUCCCGCAGCUCCUGCUUUGAGUUACAAAUGUGAGCAACCGCACCGGUAUCAAAUACCCAAGAGCUACUACGAGUACUGGUAAGGUAUACAUCAAUUACAUGUAUAUCACAUAUAUCUUUAGUGUUGCCGGCCUUCUUGUCCGCUAAGUAUUUGGGGCAGUUCCGCUUCAAGUGACCACUUCCCUUGCAAUAAAAACACUCAGUCUCAGGCUUGGGUCCAUUCUUUGACUUCUUCCUGGCAGCUGCUUACCGGGCGUGGCAACUCCCUUGCCGUCCUUCUUGAAGUUCUUCUUACCCUUACCUUUCUUGAACUUAGUGGUUUUAUUCACCAUCAACACUUGAUGUUCCUUUUUGAUUUCCACCUCUGCUGAUUUCAGCAUUGAAUAUACCUCAGGAAUGGUCUUUUCCAUCCCCUGCAUAUUGAAGUUCAUCACGAAGCUCUUGUAGCUUGGUGGAAGCGACUAAAGGAUUCUGUCAAUGACCGCGUCAUCCGGGAGAUUAACUCCUAGCCGAGUCAAGCGGUUAUGCAACCCAGACAUUUUGAGUAUGUGCUCACUGAUAGAACUAUUUUCCUCCAUCUUACAACUGAAGAACUUGUCGGAGACUUCAUAUCUCUCGACCCGGGCAUGAGCUUGGAAAACCAUUUUCAGCUCUUCGAACAUCUCAUAUGCUCCGUGUCUCUCAAAACGCUUUUGGAGCCCCGGUUCUAAGCUCUAAAGCAUGCCGCACUAAACGAGGGAGUAAUCAUCAGCAUAUGACUGCCAAGCGUUCAUAACGUCUUGGUUCUCUGGGAUGGGUGCGUCACCUAGCGGUGCUUCUAGGACAUAAUCUUUCUUGGCAGCUAUGAGGAUGAUCCUCAGGUUCCGGACCCAGUCCGUAUAGUUGUUGCCAUCAUCUUUCAGCUUGGUUUUCUCUAAGAACGCGUUGAAGUUGAGGACAACGUGGGUCAUUUGAUCUACAAGACAUAUUAUAAAGAUUUUAGACUAAGUUCAUGAUAAUUAAGUUCAUCUAAUCAAAUUACUCAAUGAACUCCCACUCAGAUAGACAUCCCUCCAGUCAUUUAAGUGAAACAUGAUCCGAGUUAACUAGGCCGUGUCCGAUCAUCAUGUGAGACGGACUAGUCAACAUCGAUGAACAUCUUCAUGUUGAUCGUACCUUCUAUACGACUCAUGCUCGACCUUUCGGUCUUCUGUGUUCCGAGGCCAUGUCUGUACAUGCUAGGCUCGUCAAGUCAACCUAAGUGUAUUGCGUGUGUAAAUCUGGCUUACACCCGUUGUAUUCGAACGUUAGAAUCUAUCACACCCGGUCAUCACGUGGUGCUUCGAAACAGUGAACCUUCGCAACGGUGCACAGUUAGGGGGAACACUUUCUUGAAAUUAUUAUGAGGGAUCAUCUUAUUUAAGCUACCGUCGUUCUAAGCAAAUAAGAUGUAAAAUAUGAUAAACAUCACAUGCAAUCAAAUAGUGACAUGAUAUGGCCAAUAUCAUUUGCUCCUUUUGAUCUCCAUCUUCGGGGCUCCAUGAUCAUCGUUGUCACCGGCAUGACACCAUGAUCUCCAUCAUAGUGUCUUCUUGAAGUUGUCUCGUCAUCUAUUACUUCUACUACUAUGGCUAACGCUUUAGCAAUAAAGUAAAGUAAUUACAUGAUGUUUAUGUUGACACGCAGGUCAUAAAUAAAUAAAGACAACUCCUAUGGCUCCUGCUGGUUGUCAUACUCAUCGACAUGCAAGUCGUGAUUCCUAUUACAAGAACAUGAUCAAUCUCAUACAUCACAUAUAUCAUUCAUCACAUCCUUUUGGCCAUAUCACAUCACAUGGCACAUGCUGCAAAAACAAGUUAGACAUCCUCUAAUUGUUGUUGCAAGUUUUUACGUGGCUGCUAUAGGUUUCUAGCAAAAACGUUUCUUACCUACGCCAAAACCACAACGUGAUAUGCCAAUUUCUAUUUACCCUUCAUAAGGACCCUUUUCAUCGAAUCUGAUCCGACUAAAGUGGGAGAGACAGACACCCGCCAGCCAUCUUAUGCAACUAGUGCAUGUCAAUCGGUGGAACCAGUCUCACGUAAGCGUACGUGUAAGGUCGGUCUGGGCCGCUUCAUCCCACGAUGCCCCCGAAUCAAGAUAAGACUAGUAACGGCAAGCAAAUUGACAAUAUCCACGCCCACAACUGCUUUGUGUUCUACUCGUGCAUAGAAACUACGCAUAGACCUAGCUCAUGAUGCCACUGUUGGGGAAUGUAGCAGAAUUUUAAAAUUUUCUACGCAUCACCAAGAUCAAUCUAUGGAGUCAUCUAACAACGAGGGAGAAAGGAGUGCAUCUACAUACCCUUGUAGAUCGCGUGCGGAAGCGUUCAAGAGAACGGGGUUGAUGGAGAAGUACUCGAUGUGAUCCAAAUCACCGAUGACCUAGCGCCGAACGGACGGCACCUCCGCGUUCAACACACGUACGGUUGGGAAGACGUCUCGUCCAACUUGAUCCAGCAAGGGGGAAGGAGAGGUUGAUGAAGAUCCAGCAGCACGAUGGUGUGGUGGUGGAAGCAACGGUGAUCUCGGCAGGGCUUCGCCAAGCACAGGGAGAGGGAGGAGUGUCACGGGAGGGAGAGGGAGAGGCCAGGGGCUAGGGUGCGGCUGCCCUCCCUCCCCCCCACUAUUUAUAGGACCCCUAGGGGGGUGCCGGCCCUAGGAGAUGCCAUCUCCAAGGGAGGGCGGCGGCCAAGGGGGUGGCUUGCCCCCCAAGGCAAGUGGGGCGCCCCCCACCCCUAGGGUUUCCAACCCUAGGCGCAGGGGGAGGCCCAUGGGGGGGGCGCACCAGCCCACUAGGGGCUGGUUCCCCUCCCACUUCAGCCCAUGGGGCCCUCCGGGAUAGGUGGCCCCACCCGGUGGACCCCCGGGACCCUUCCGGUGGUCCCGGUAUAAUACCGAUUACCCCCGAAACUUUCCCGAUGGCCUAAACUUGACUUCCUAUAUAUAAAUCUUCACCUCCGGACCAUUCCGGAACUCCUCGUGACGUCCGGGAUCUCAUCCGGGACUCCAAACAACUUUCGGGUUACUGUAUACUAAUAUCUCAACAACCCUAGCGUCACCGAACCUUAAGUGUGUAGACCCUACGGGUUCGGGAGACACGCAGACAUGACCGAGAAGACUCUCUGGUCAAUAACCAACAGCGGGAUCUGGAUACCCAUGUUGGCUCGCACAUGCUCCUCGAUGAUCUCAUCGGAUGAACCACGAUGUCGAGGAUUCAAUCAAUCCGUAUACAAUUCCCUUUGUCAAUCGGUACGUUACUUGCCCGAGACUCGAUCGUCGGUAUCCCAAUACCUCGUUCAAUCUCGUUACCGGCAAGUCACUUUACUCAUACCGUAAUGCAUGAUCCCGUGAUCAACCACUUGGUCACAUUGAGCUCAUUAUGAUGAUGCAUUAUCGAGUGGGCCCAGAGAUACCUCUCUGUCAUACGGAGUGACAAAUCCCAGUCUCGAUUCGUGCCAACCGAACAGACACUUUCGGAGAUACAUGUAGUGUACCUUUAUAGUCACCCAGUUACGUUGUGAUGUUUGGCACACCCAAAGCACUCAUCCGGUAUCCGGGAGUUGCACAAUCUCAUGGUCUAAGGAAAUGAUACUUGACAUUCGGAAAAGCUACAUCAAACGAACUACACGAUCUUUGAGCUAUGCUUAGGAUUGGGUCUUGUCCAUCACAUCAUUCUCCUAAUGAUGUGAUCCCGUUAUCAAUGACAUCCAAUGUCCAUAGUCAGAAAACCAUGACUAUCUUUUGAUCAGCGAGCUAGUCAACUAAAGGCUCACUAGGGACGUGUUGUGGUCUAUGUAUUCACACAUGUAUUACGAUUUCCGGAUAACACAAUUAUAGCAUGAAUAAUGGACAAUGAUCAUGAAAAAAGAAAUAUAAUAAUAACCAUUUUAUUAUUGCCUCUAGGGCAUAUUUCCAACACCCUCCCCCUCCCCCACACACAUUCGCUUUACUCUAGAUGAGAAGGAGCCCAAUCAAGUCUUCAACUGUCUUCAAGGUAUCAAAGUUGGUUCCACUUACUUAGGGAGUAUAUGCAUAUAUGUGCGGUUAAUGGACAAAUGUUCAACGGGACGAAGUCUCAUGAUUGUUGUGAUCAUGUCACAAAUACUUCCGUUUGCUAUUAGAGGCAUAACAGAUAAGCGCGUCCGCAAAACACUCCUUGUCCUUUGUAAUUUCUUCGAUAUUAUCUCUCAAAAGUCGAUCAACUUAGAAGUGCAAGGCUACAGGAGGAAAACAUUAUUAUAUUAUGUGAGCUUGAGAACUACUUCCCCCCGCACUCUUUGAUGUUAUGGUUAUAAUCCCCAAGUGCAAAAACUAUUGCAACACUUCCCAAAGUGGAGGUGGUACAUAUGAAGUGUCAAUAUCACAGAUGAGCUAAAGGUAGGAAUCAUAUUCUCUCAAGUUCUAUAUGACACUGACAUAAUCCUGCAUAUAUUAAAUGUUGUUUUACGUGGAAUUUCUACUAAAAGAUACCUCCUUUGUUCCUAAAUAUAAUUCUUUUUAGAGAUUUCAAUGUGGACUACAUACAGAGCAAAAUGAGUGAAUCUACACUCUUAAAUAUGUCUAUAUACAUCCAUAUGUAUUCUUUGUUAAAAUAUAUAUAAAAAGACAUAUAUUUAGAAACAAAGGGAGUAGUUUGCAAGUUUUUGAGAGGGCGAAUGUGGGGUAGUGGUGGAAGGUGUUGCAAAAUUGUUGCUCACCAAUUGUCUAUGAUACCGGAUCGAUAAUCAUACAUUUUCCAGUCUCAUACGCAGGAGAGGCAUAUGCUAACAUGCAGUGACAUCCAUUGACAUCAUAUUCUUAUUGAUAAACCUUACAAAGCAUUGUACGAAGAAUUCAUUAAGUUAAAGCCCAACCAUAAGAUCUAUGGGUCCCGUGUAUCCCAUAUGCAUGAACUCUUAUACUCAUGUGAAAGUGAUAGCAUUGCUUUGUCAAUGACAAAAAUAUAUUAAUUGUAGAAUUCGGAGGUAACAUUUGUCGCUCGACUUGUUUUUUUUUUUUGGUGUAAGUCAAAAUGUUUAAGCCUUUACCCUAAAAUUUGUAGAUAGCAUUUUGGUGUGACAAUGAACACAACUUUUUUUUUUACAUUUGCAAAAUACAUUUUGUGUGCGCAUGAGCGUAUGCUGACUAGAGCCAAAUUGGAUUUCUGUGAAAAAAACAUGCAUAUAUAUGGCGCAGAAAGUGAAUCAAGUGCUAAAACAAAAUCUCUGCGCUCUGAUUGGUCGGUAGGACCGUCCCACGGAUCGCGCCCACCCUACUAAUCUCCACCGUCCACUACGCCAAGAUCCAACGGUGGGCGCAGCAUGUCACGCGGAUCGCUCCCUCCUCUGCUUCCCAAUAAAACCCGCGGCCACGCCGCCGUUCCAACACACAAACUCAGAGCAUUCCCAUCCAGCGCAACCGCCGCCAACACCACUCCUCGAGAGUCCUCGCCGCCGGAGAAGCAGCAAGCAAGAUGGCCGGAAGGAAGGGCGGCGACAGGAAGAAGGCGGUGACCAGGUCCGUCAAGGCCGGGCUCCAGUUCCCGGUCGGCCGCAUCGGGCGCUACCUCAAGAAGGGCCGCUACGCGCAGCGCGUCGGCUCCGGCGCCCCCGUCUACCUCGCCGCCGUCCUCGAGUACCUCGCCGCCGAGGUAUGCGCCGAUCUAUCCUCUCCUAGAGCCUCUGAUCUUCCCUCCUCUUGUCCCGAUUGACUGAUUUCGUUGGCUUUUGAAUGCGCAGGUCCUGGAGCUCGCCGGCAACGCGGCCAAGGACAACAAGAAGACCCGCAUCAUCCCGCGCCACCUGCUGCUCGCUGUCCGCAACGAUCAGGAGCUCGGCAAGCUGCUCGCCGGCGUCACCAUCGCCCACGGCGGUGUGAUCCCCAACAUCAACUCCGUGCUGCUCCCCAAGAAGUCCCCUGCCGCCGCCGAGAAGGAGGCCAAGUCGCCCAAGAAGAAGACGGCCGCCAAGUCCCCCAAGAAGAAGACGGCCGCCACGAAGGAGUAGCCGUCGUCCCCAUAGCCUAGCCAUUGUUGCUUAGAUCCAUUUCUCAUGGACUAAGAUGGGAUCCUGUAUGUAGUGCCUGCUAGUCUGUAGUGCCCGUCAGAUUCGUCGAGCAAGGGUGACAUUGUACCUGUGAUUUCUGUGAGAAUGGCGAAAGAUCCAAUCAUUUCAGUGUGUUGUUCUAUCUAUGGCUGCAAUGAUUUCAAUCCCUUGUUCUACAUAUGGCUGCAAUUGAUCUUGCGAAUGCUUGCUUCUUGCCUAUGCGUCUGAUGAUCUGAAAUUUUCCUAGGAUUCAGUUCACUUCAAGCUUAUUCCUAUCAAGCUGCAGGAAACUGAAUCUAUGAAGAACUGCACCUAGGAUUCUCAAUCAUACUCCACCUCUCCCUUCGUGGCAGCUUAUAAAUUGAGCUUCAGAAUUCCUGCAGUAAAACAUUUCAGUUUAGAGCUUGACCAUGCCGAAACAUUUUGCAGAAAUGUAACCUUGAUCUUUCUCUCUGUAGUUGAGCUGGUGACAUGUUGCUUUGUUCAUGAGCCAAAAGAAUUCUUAAAGUUGGAGUUGAGCCGACUACAUGCGAACUGAAGUUUGGAUAGUUGUUUGAUGCAGGUAACAAACCACAGACCUGACAACAUCUUGGCUGCUACUAGAUGCAAACUAUAAUAACUAGCCAGAUGAGGUGCUGAUUUUGUAAUCAGAUAAAGCUGAAACAGAUACUAUUGAGGAAUUUAGAAUUAGUCAGGCCCUUGGAAUAGAAUUAACACUUGACGAUUCCCAAUCAUCCUCCACCUCUGUCUGCGGCGCAGCCUAUAGAUCGGUGCUGGCUCUAAAUUGGACAAGUAAUAAGCAAGAUUCUUCAGAAGUACUGCAGACAAACAUGGCAAAUUAGAGCUUGAUCAUGCCGAAACAUUUUGCAGACAAUUGAUCCUUGAUCUUUCCCUUUGUAGUUGAGCUGGUUACAUGUUACUUUGUUGGACAAAAUAAUAAUUCCAGUUGGAGUCGAGCCGGCUACAUGCGAACUGAAGUUUGGAUAGUUUGAUGUAGGUAAAAAAACACAUAACGUUUUGGCUGCUAUAGAUGCAAACUACAAUAACUCGCCAGAUGAGGAGCUGAUCUUGUAAUCAGCUAAAGCAGAAACAGAUAUUGACAAAUUUAGAUACUAGGAUCAGUCAGGCCCCUUAAAAUGGUCCAGUAGAAAAAUGUUCUUCACCGGAGUGCACAAGAUUUCCUGGGUAAAUAAGCAAGUUAAUGUUGCAUGGUGGGAACAAUAGUAAGAAAGAAUUUCAGUAAAACUGAUGAAUAGGGAAAAAAUAGGUUAAAUGCAGAGUGGGUAUUCCGUAUAUCCAUCUGUUAAUUUUUUUUUACCAAAAAUAGGCCCAGUGGUGGGUUAACUUUUCUCCAUUCUGCUUUCCCCGUUGAAAUUUUAAAUUUGUUGUGGAAAACAGGCAUAUGGUAAUUUUGAAGUUCGGCAGAUGAUUGUUUAGAUAUUUUCCGCUUUAGGAAAACAAGCUAGGAAAAGCAAUUUAGAUGUUUCAUUCUAGCUAAAAGUUUUUUAAAUGAGUUGAAGACUUUUCAAUAUUUCCGCAUAUACUGACAGUCCUUCUCGUUUGAUUCUGGUUUGAUUUGUGGUAUGAUUGUGAAUCUGGUUUGAUUUAUGGUAUGAUUGAAUGUGCUCAUACCACUGCUCGUCUUCUGUUUUGUUAAAUUUAUGACUUGUGUCCGACUUCUUCUAUUUUGUGGUAUGUGUGGACAAGUUUGCAGACGCACUUGUAUGAGUAUGAGUGCUCGUCAGUCCUUCUAAUAACUUGGUCAUGUGUGGUCUCUAGCGAUAUGAGCUACGCUGCGACCGAGGGCUGUUGUAUCACUAGUCAACCGAUGGUGUUACGGCCCAGGGGUACCUCACCUUGUCGGUUACCGGUCCAAGUAGGACGGCCCGAGGCCCCUAGGGCGGUACCGCUUGGGCCAUCUUGUCAGCCCAUUGGCCCUCUAGGAGAAAUUUUUUUGAAGCCUUUUCGUUCAAGAGAAAGAAGUCGGAUCCGUGGAGGACUCCUCUCCACCGACGUUGCCAACUAGGACUCUUAAAACCCUAGGGCCCCCGAUAUCUUAUAUAAGCUAGGUUUGGGCUAGUCAACUAAACAUCUUAGACAUUACAAUCCUUCGGUAUUACAUGUACUUUGUAUACCCCGGUCAAAAUAUACACAAAGUAGGAGUAGAGGUUUUACAUCAAUCAUGAGGGCCUGAACCUUGGUAACUCGCUUCUUCUUUCUCCUCUAGCCUAAUCGCCAUGCCAGGAUACCCUACUGGGGGAUAUACCGGAAUCAUCUCCGACACCAUAAAAGGACCACAUCAGCCGGAAAACAACACCACAUCAACACUGAUACCACAGUACCAUUAGAGGGACCAACUUACUGUUAAGUAGUACACAUCCCAUAAGAAGCAGGCUUACCAGAACCCAAAGAACAAGCUACCUAAGCGAUAAGGUAGGAGAUAAGGAUACUCUCAGGUAGCAUAGAGGUGGGUGGCUGCUCCGGAUCCAGGCAGAGGCAUGGUGGGGCGCAGCGUGGUCCAGUUCUGGGCCUGGCAAGCAGGCGCAUGCAUGCAAGACUGGGCGCACCGAGAAGGUGCACGUGGUCCAGAUCGCAUGGUGCACGACGAGCUCGGGCAGGCCGGAGUAGUAGGGUGUGACCCGAAGGUUUUUGUGGCUCGAGAUCCGCGUGGUGCUUGCUCCUAGUGGCGUGUUGCUCGUGAGUGUGCACUUUGCAGCACGAUGGAGGAGCUUGAUGCAAGAUGCUAAGCGAGUGGUUUGAUGCGCAUAUGGCUUGUUAGGGGGGUUGCCCGAGUCCUGGGGCUUGGAGGGUGAUGAAGGCGAAAGAUGUAUUCUCACGAUGGCGCCUUCGAGCCCCUUUUCCUUGUUGGAGGUGUCAAGGUGGAAGUCCUCACUCCCCCCUCCCCCCGACAAGCUACAGUGGAAAACCUAGAUUUGCUUUACUGGGCGACGACAGUGUUGUUAGCUUUGCUUGGUGUGGCGCGCAUGCCCUCUUGAUGGCAUCGUUUCAGAGAUGGCGGUCGGUGGGACCUGUGGCUGGUGGAGUUGGCCGGUGACGGCUACUGUGUUUUCGCCCGUGUGGCGUGCUUACUGAAUUGGGUGGUGGGUAGUAGGAGCAUCCUUCACAUGUGGCGUGCGUCGGGUGAGGCACAUCAGCCAACCUCAUGGGAUGAAAACUGCAUGUGUUCGAUUUAACAGACAUAUCAGUCCUCUCUAAUGUCGUUGUGAUUCGUGAAGAAUCUUGUGAUAAGCCCAGACUAAUGCAAUGGCUUUCAGCAUGCAGUCUGGUAGCGGCGAAGGCGCUGGAGCCAGUUUUCCUCAAAUAUAAACCGAGCGGCCCUUUCUUCAUUCUUCUUUCUCUAGCACAUGCUUAUGCGGUGCAUUGCUUUAUUUGGGUGUUCAUGUAACACCCGUUUCUAAUCAAUGUUUCUUUUUUUCGGGGUUCUAAUCAAUGGUUUUAUUUUUUUUUAACUCUCUUUUCAUGCUCUGCAACGUGCUGUAUGUACACGGGAGUCCACACAUCCAUCGAUCCGCUCCGCUCUAGCUCGCGUACGUUCUCGCCACGUCAUCGAUCCGCGCCCAAGCGCAUCGGGUCCGUCCGUCCCAAGCAUCAUCGAGCGGCUGGAACCACUCCACGCCAUCGAUCCGAGGCACCAUCCUCUCCGCCAACCGCAGCCCACCUCCCUCCUCCUCCCCCCGCUCCCUACAUAACCCCGCCGCCCCAUCCGUCUCUUCACAUCUCAGCAUCAGCAGCCCCCCUCACAUCCCACCCAACAAGCCCCACCUCCCCACGCGCUCCAGCCAGCAGCACCCAUGGCACCCAAGGCGGCGGAGAAGAAGCCGGUGGCCACGGCAGAGAAGACGACGGCGGGGAAGAAGCCCAAGGCGGAGAAGCGGGCGCCGGCGUCCAAGGAGGCCGGCGGCGAGGGGAAGACGAGGGGCCGGAAGAAGGGCAGCAAGGCCAAGAAGGGCGUGGAGACCUACAAGAUCUACAUCUUCAAGGUGCUCAAGCAGGUGCACCCCGACAUCGGCAUCUCCUCCAAGGCCAUGUCCAUCAUGAACUCCUUCAUCAACGACAUCUUCGAGAAGCUGGCCGGCGAGUCCGCCAAGCUCGCCCGCUACAACAAGAAGCCCACCAUCACGUCCCGGGAGAUCCAGACCUCAGUGCGCCUCGUCCUCCCCGGCGAGCUCGCCAAGCAUGCCGUCUCCGAGGGCACCAAGGCCGUCACCAAGUUCACCUCAUCCUAAGCUGGCCUCGUCGUCGUUUCAUGACGAGUUGAGGGCGGCAGGCGUCGUGUGUGUAGUUAGCAGUAGUACGAUGUUACAAUCUUUGUAAGAAUUGUUCUGCUUGCUUGUGGCCUUGAAGGAAUAGUGAUGUUGCUGUUUGAAUCAAUGUUCGUCUGUGCUUGCGUGUCUCUUCAGAGUUCAGACUAACUCUUCUUGAUGCCAUUUGUUUAUGUCAGCAAGUUUCUACUGUGAUGGUUUAUCUAGUAAUUUUAAUUUGCUGUCAUUUUAUCUAUUGUGAUUGUUUCUAAGUUUCUAGAUAGAAACCUUUGAUUUUAAUUCUACAAUCUUUGAAGUUUGAAAUUAUGUACUACCAGUUAAAUCCAUGAUUUUCCUUCCUCUUUUGGCGCUAUGUAACUAACCUAUAUACUGUUGCUGCCAUUUGAGUAAAACUGAAGUUGGUGAGGCUUGUUAAUUUCUGACAGAACAUUCCAAGUUUUUUCCUCAGUGGACUUGUCAUCCAUAUGGCAAGAGGCCAAGAACAGCCUGACCGCCAGUGCUCAGAAAGUCACAAUGCAUUAGAUUCGGAUUAGCUUCUUGAGAUAAAUUAGAGGCUUUUUGCAAAAAAAGAAGCAAUAAAUUAGAGAAAGCGCACCCAUGUUUUUUAGAGUCAAGGGACAAGCUAGAUGUAACCAUCAUCUUUUUAGGAUGGCAUACCUGAGUUUUUUUUCUCUGUAUAUGUUUAUACUACAGUAGCUAAUUUUCCUUUGAUCUACUACUACACUUGGUAAUUUCUGAUCACGAAGCCACCAAUUUUGUCAAGGUGCAUUUUUUCUAUCGAUUCAUUUCUCUAUGUUUAUGUACAUUUGUAUGGAUAUAUGAAUUCUAAGUUAAGUGCAUUGGCAAGAACCAUUCACCACUCAUUUCCAGCCAUGGCGUUUCCACAAUUCGAUGGGGAAAACCCACGGUUGUGGAAAGGGAUGUGCGAGCAAUACUUUGCCAUGUACGGGGUUGACCAAUCCUUUUGGUAGCCCAUGGCUACGCUGAACUUCUCCACGACCACGGCCAUUUGGCUGCAGUCAGUUCAGCGCAAGGUCGCCGGCCUUAACUGGGAGGGGUUAUGCGAGUUUCUUUGCAGCAAGUUCGGGCGCGACCAACACCAACAACUGAUUAGGCGAUUUUACCACACUAGGCAAACUGGCUCCGUGGCGGAGUAUAUCAAGCAAUUUGAUGCUUUAAUGAACCAUCUGCUAUCUUACUCUGAAGCUAUUCACCCCCUGUAUUUUUUGACGAGGUUUGUGGAGGGUCUGCGUGAUGACAUUCAGGCGGUCGUGCUGAUCCAGCGACCCGUCGACCAGGAGGCGGUCGGCUCCCUGGCCCUUCUACAAGAGGAGCUUGCGGAGGGCUUCCGGCGGGAUCGCCCGCGCCGCUCUGACGCACCGACAACAAGGGCCGCCAUCCGAACGGCCCCUCUGCCGCUGCCGGCCGCUCCUCCUCGGGGUGGUGGGGUAGCUGGUGCGGAGGACCGGCACGCUCUGGAGGCAGCGCGGCCCGCACAAGACGCAGACAAGGUUGCUGCCCUAUGCGCCUACUGGUGCGCUAAGGGACUCUGUUUCACCUGUGGCGAACGCUGGGGGCGUGACCACCACUGCCCAGCCAAUGUUCCCCUCCAUGUCAUUGAGGAAUUACUUCAGAUGCUGGAAACAGAAGACGGGUGCACCCUGCCAACCGAGGAACAACAAGAAGAUGCCAACUGCGCAGCCAUUUCGUGCCAUGCUUUGGAGGGCACGGCAUCCCCAAAGGCUCUGCAACUCCAAGGGUGGCUAGGCGACACCAAGGUGCUCCUGCUCGUUGACUCGGGCAGCUCGUCUUCCUUCAUCAGGCACGACUUGGUCAGAGGAGAACUCCGGGCGGUCCCUCUAGCGCGCCGUCUCAGGGUGCGCGUAGCCGAUGGGGGAGAGCUAGCUUGUACUCAGGAAGUACCGGACUGCCAAUGGUGGAGCCAUGGACAGGAAUUUCGCUGCAAUCUGAAGGUGCUUCCAUUGCACAGCUAUGAUAUUAUCCUCGGGAUGGAUUGGUUAGAAAGUCACAGCCCAAUGCAAGUUGACUGGGAGAAGAAGUACAUCGAGUUCCAAUACCAUGGGGGCACGAUCCGACUGCAAGGCUUGCCUAGCAGCGACACCACAUGCUCCACAGUGUCGGCUAUGCAACUCCAGGCGCUGUGCAAAGAGAAUGCCAGUUUGCUCGUCCUCCAGCUAUGCCAAGUGGUUCCACAACAGCCUUCACCUAUGCUGCCCCAAGUUGCCGAGUUGCUCAGCCGCUACAAAGAAGUCUUUGAUGAACCAACAGGGUUACCCCCAAAACGGGCUUGCGACCACCGCAUACCCCUGCUGCCAGGUGCUCAAUCGUUUGCCAUCCGUCCAUACCGCUACUCUCCAGCCCUCAAGACAGAAAUCGAGCGCCAAGUGGCUGACCUUCUGAAGAAAGGGAUCAUACAAGUCAGUUAGAGCCCUUUCUCCUCUCCUGUGGUCCUGGUGCGCAAGAAGGACUUGACUUGGCGACUGUGUGUCGAUUACAGGCGCCUCAACGCUCUGACUUGCAAGACUACUUUUCCUAUCCCAGCGAUUGACGAACUUCUGGAUGAGCUCGCAGGCGCGCGCUGGUUCUCUAAAUUAGAUCUCCGCUCGGGGUACCACCAGAUCCGGUUGGCUGAAGGCGAAGCACCAAAGACAGCAUUCCAAACACACAGCAGCCACUACGAGUACAAGGUGGUAUCCUUCGGACUCGCCUACGCACCGGCCACCUUCCAGGGAGCAAUGAACGUCACCCUGUCUCCUGUAUCCCGCAAGUGCGUGCUUGUCUUCUUCGACGACAUUUUGGUGUUCAGUAUUACCUUGGAGGAUCACUUGAGAGACUUGGAAGAGGUGCUCGGGCUGUUGAAGAAGGACCAGUGGCAGGUGAAUGAAUCCAAGUGCUUAUUCGCGCAACAGCAACUAUCUUACCUGGGCCACCGCAUCAGCGCAGAAGGGGUCGCAACCGAGGAGAGCAAAAUCGCUAAAUUCCGCGACUGGCCAGUGCCCGAAUCAGUGAAGGAACUCAGGGGCUUCCUGGGUCUAGCAGGUUACUAUAGGAAGUUUGUCUGUCACUUCGGGAUGAUCUGCAAACCCCUGACUCAGCUGCUGCGCAAGGGGGCACUCUUUGUUUGGACUGAUGAGAGCCAAAAGGCAUUUACAGCUCUCAAGGAAGCCCUCAUUUCGGCUCCGGUACUGGCCCUGCCCAACUUCACCAAAACAUUCGUGGUCGAAACUGACGCGUGUGAUAGAGGCAUUGGGGCGGUGCUGCAGCAGGACAACCACCCCAUCGCUUUCCUCAGCAAAGCCCUCGGGCCAAAGGCGGCAGGCCUCUCCACCUACGAGAAGGAAUGUAUGGCAAUUCUGCAUGCGGUUGACCAAUGGCGCCACUACUUGCAAAUGGCUGAAUUUGUGAUCAAAAUAGACCAAAAAAGUUUGGUGCACCUGGAAGAGCAACGCUUGUCGACGGUCUGGCAACACAAGGCAUUCACCAAAUUGCUAGGCCUGCAAUACAGAAUCUGCUACAAAAAAGGAGAGGAUAACAAGGCAGCCGAUGUCCUGUCUCGUCGCCACCACGACCCGCAGGAGGCCGCACUUGCCAUCACUGAAUGCAAGCCUGCUUGGUUGACAGAGGUGCAACAAGGGUACGUCGAGGACGCCCGAUGCCAGAAACUUCUCGCUAGCCUAGCCACGACACCGCAACAAGGAGCUUUCAGCUUGCAACGGGGUUUACUACGCUACAAGGGCAGACUGUGGCUAGGGCAAAACCGUGCGCUGCAAGCCAAGGUUACUUCAGCCUUGCAUGAUGCAGCAGCAGGGGGGCACUCGGGCUUCCCGGUCACCUUGGCGCGCGUCAAGCAGCACUUCGCCUGGCCGGGGAUGCGCCGCACCAUCAGGGAGUUCGUCAGCACCUGCUCCACGUGCCAGCAAGCUAAACCUGACAGGUCUCGCUACCCAGGGCUCCUGCAACCCCUACCAAUACCAAAUCAGCCGUGGGAGAUGGCAACUAUGGAUUUCAUCGACGGUCUGCCCCCGUCUGGCCGGCACAACUGCAUCAUGGUGGUCGUGGACAAACUAACCAAGUAUGCCCAUUUUGUGCCGCUCGUGCACCCUUUCACCGCCCAGACAGUAGCCCAGCAGUUCAUGGAUCACAUCUACAAGCACCACGGUAUGCCCAGGUACAUUGUCUCUGACCGUGACCCGCUCUUUACCAGUCGCUUCUGGCAGCACCUUUUCAAACUCACCGGUACGGAGCUCCUCAUGAGCACGGCGCGCCACCCUCAAACUGACAGGCAAACGGAACGUGUCAACCAGUGCCUGGAAACAUUCUUGCGCUGCUACUCGCAGGCAUCCCUUCAGCAGUGGUCCAAGUGGUUGUCACUCGCAGAGUUCUGGUAUAACACGAGCACGCACUCAAGCCUGGGCAAGUCGCUGUUCGCGGUGCUCUAUGGGAGAGAGCCUCGCGCCCUGGGGUUAGCCACCGCAGAUGACUGCCAACCACUCGACGUCCGAGCAUGGCUCGAGGAGCGGCAACUGAUGCUGGCUUUGGCGAAGCAGCACUUGCACAGAGCACAACAGCGGAUGAAAGAACAAGCAGACAAGAAGCGUUCCGACCGCUCCUUCCAACCAGGAGACCAAGUGUACCUGAAAGGCUGAAACUGCAACCUUAUGUGCAAACCUCCGUCGCUCGGCGGGCGUGCCACAAGCUGUCGUUCAAAUUCUUUGGCCCCUUCCAGAUUCUGGCCAAGAUUGGAUCCGUGGCUUACCGCCUGCAGCUCCCAAAAGGAUCAGCAGUCCAUCCAGUCUUCCAUGUGUCGCAACUCAAGGCGGCUCACCUCCGUCCUGAAGGUUCGGUCAGCGCUCUGCCGACUAAUGUGUCUGCGUUUCAGGUACCGCUCGAAGUGAUCGACUACAGGUGGCGCAAGGCCCCCAACAAGAUGGUUCGUCAGGGCAAGAUUUGCUGGUCUGGCACACCCGUGGAGGACACCACUUGGGAAGACCUGGAAGAUCUCCACCGCCGUUUCCCGCGCGCUCCAGCUUGGGUCCCGCUGCGCAUCCUCAGCCUCCGCGACAAGAAAACCGGGCGCUCGACCGUGCGCCAGGGGACAAGCCCUUUUUCAAGACAAGGGGAAUGUCAGCGACGCCCAGGAGACGGCCCCUGACAAGAUCACCUCAAGCGACACCGAGCCACCACAGGAGGUCGAGCCCAACAGGCCCAGGCGCGAGCGGAAGCCCAACAGCAAAUUCAUCGGGCCCGCGUGGGCAAGUGGCCCACGGAAGUGAAGACUCACCUGCAUAUAAUCCCCUCCUCCCCCGCGAGCUAGGGUAUCCAGAGGAUCAAGAACUUGGCGGCGGCGGCGGCUCUCUACUACCUUCCUCCUCCUUUCCUUAGAUCUGGCUCGAUGAGCAUGUAAUCAAACCGAAUUCCUGUGAUUUGAGAGUGAGGACACUAGUAGUUCCUAUCAAUUUGGCUGUUUUAAUUGGGUCCUGUUUGAAUCGUUUUCAUUUCCAAUUUUCUUGAUCUUUAGCAAAUGAUCCCUUCCCCUCCUAAUGCAAAAGCAGAGCUCCUGCUGUCAAAGUCAAAAUAGAUGCAAAGGCCACAAAUGCAGAUGAACGCAUUUUUCAACCAAAAAAUAGAAGUCGGAAUGAGAGAAAUGAUUAGAGGGGACUGAAGCUCGACAAACAGAAAAGGUGGAGCGGGAAAAAAUGAUUUGAUUGUCUGAAGGAACAACUUGUAGCGCUAAAGAUGCAGUUGAGGUACAAGAGAAACAAUACAAUUGGAGGUAUACCCUUAGCUAAAUCCAGUAGUACAAAACAACCAAGGCUCCAUGGACAUGAGGCGAAAACAAUCUGGUACAACAACAUAUGCCUAGUUUUUUUUUUCCGAUAAAGGGUGUUUUUUUAUUCAUAAUGUAGCAUGGAGGGAUACAAUGAUAAUUUAUACACACCUGGUCUCUACAUAAUUAGGAUGCACAUAACCAACAAAAAGACGCACUAACCGACCACACCGGCAAAAAGCAAGGUCAAAUAACACCAGAGCCAUGCCUAUUCGGAGGAAAAAACCCCAAGCAAUAAAAAUAACAAUUGACAAUAUAUAGCAGUGACCAUCGGCACCAACCAUUCAUCGGCAACACAAGGACUAUGAACAACAUAUGCCUAGGUACAAACCGUGACGUGGGUUUUCCAUUAGUAAGAAAGAGUGAAAACUGGUAAACUAAAAUGAACUUCAUAGCGGCCUUGGCCAUGGAUAUUUCUUACGUUGGAGCUGGUAAAUCUGGCAGGCGAUGACUAUACAGAACUUUUUGACAAAGCUUGCCACCAAAGGGAACUAGGGGUCUACGGGCAUCUCCAUGGGAAUCGUUGGUACAAGUACAAAUACAGUUUGGUGUUCCUGGUCACUUUUUCAGCAAGAUCUUGCAAGAGAGUCCGCCAUUUGGACCCUUCUGGUUCAGGAUCAUGAGACCCGAACUACAAACAUAAUCUCUGUUCUCGACAAUAGAACGAUAACCCAUCACCAAUUUACUGACUUGGCAAAUUGGCAGUCCAUCCAAAACGGCAGCCUGAAACAUGUCUUUGAGCAUCAUUUGCUUAGCUUGGUAGAUUCUGCAAGGCGUCCAAGCUUCUGCCUAUUCUUUCUUCUAUCCAGGCAAGUCUCCUCUCAAGUUUUAGCACACUGGCAUGAAUAACCCUAAUAUCAACCUCCGCAAGCUUGGAAAAUGAGUGUACCAACAUGUAAUAAUCAGCGUGUCCAACACAAACAAGAUUACCGGUUACUGUUUUCUUUCUAUAGUGAAGAUAGUCAUCUGAUCUCGGACACUUCCUUCGCGGCAUAUAACAAAAUCCAUGGUCUUCCAUUUCUGAUUUGAUACUUAGCAUCCCUGAUGAUAAUGAAGAAAAGCACCGUCCACAAAAGUUCCAUCCCGACCUCGUUUAUUACUCGAGUUGUGGUUCGCAUUUCCUCCAUGUGUGCUUUUGGAUUCUCAUCCUGCAGUGCAACAGAUUUAGCCAUCAAGUCAAUAACAACACCCCCAAAAGAGAUGUAGCAAAUCCUCAAGGUACUACAUUGUACAAAUUUUAAGCUCAGAUAUGCUGCGAAUAAAUAGAGAUUUUUUAGAUUAACAAUUGUUUUUUCAUUUAUCUUUUAAUUUUAUAAUUUGGUUGUUUCUCAAAAAGAAAACCAGUUGUGUUUGGUUUCUAUAAUCAUUUAUGUUCUUUCAUGCUGAUUUUGUUCCUGAAAUAACAUUCAUAGAUAGAAGGUUGUUAAUGGUUUGUACCCAGGGUUCAGAAAUGGUACAUCCGUAGAGAUUAGAAGUUCAAAAUAAAUACAGUAUGUGGUUAGAGUGAAAUAGAAAACCCUUUCUGAAUGGCAACUUUAUUGUUCUUAAUCUUUUAAAUUUACAAUAUGGCAGCUCCUAAAAUAAAAUAAAAUAUCAUUCAAACCAAUUGUGUUUGAUUUCUAAGAUCUUUUGUGUGUUUUUGUUCUGAUUUUGUUCCUGAAACAGCAUCCAUACAUAGAACCUUGUUAAUGGUUUGCACUAAAGGUCCAGAUCGAAAGGCACUAGGCACUAGGCGGGCGUUUUGUGAGAAUUCAUGAUGAAUAUUAUUAAAUACAGGAUGAAUAAUCCCAAUAAAGUAGUACACGAAAAACAUUUUUAGUACUCCCUCCGUCCGGAAAAGUUUGUCCCAAUCUUGUUUCUCAAAUGGAUGUAUCUAGCACUAACUUGGUACUAGAUACAUCCAUCUGAGGGACAAGCUUUUUUGGACGGAGGGAGUACAUAGUCUUUUUUCAAAACACGUGGAUUAUUGUUAGUGAAAUAUAAGUAUUUUUUACACACUAUAAACAUUUUUAAAUGAAAUCUUGUCAUUUUCAAUAAAAUGUAAAACAUUCUUGAUAUACAUCAAAUAUUUUUUGAACCAAUAAACGUUUCCAUUAAAUGAUUCUUUAAUACACAAAGAACAUCUUUUAAAUAAUUGGCUAAUAUUUUUAAUACAUAAUAAACAAAUUAAUACAUGUUUAAUGUUUUUAUAAUACGCAUACACAUUUUUAAUACUCCCUCCAUUCGAAAAUGUAGUGCGUACAUAUUUUUUGAAAAGUCAAACUUUACAAACGUUGACCAAAUUUAUAGAGAAAAAUAUUAAUAUCUAGAAUACCAAAUAUAUUAAAUACUCCCACUGUCCAAAAACAACUACCGCUCAAACGAAUGUAUCUAACACUAAAAUACAUCUUGAUACAUCCGUUUGAGUGACAAUUAUAAGACGGAGGUAGUAUGAGACUAUAUCUUAUGAUGAGUAUAAUGAUAUAUAGUUUUGGCAAUCUAGAUGUAAAUGUUUUUCUUUAAAAAUAUAGGUCUAAAUUGGUGAGGUUUGACUUCUCAAAAAAUUUAUAUGCAGUACAUUAUGGAACGGAGGGGGUACAUGACAAAACAUAUCUCGAAACACGGGGACCAUUUUGUAGAAAGUGAUUUCGUAAAUGGUAUGAGAAAAGGAAAAAGAAAUAAACAGAAAAAACAGGAGAAAGGAAACCCCAAAAGGGAAACAAUAAAUGUAUAAAAAUAAAAACUAAUAGAAAAGUAAAUAUGAAAGAAAAAUUAAGGUGAAAGAAACUGGAAAACAAGAAAAAAAGUGGGAAACCAGAGUUAAACAGAAAAAUAUGGACAUAAACCACCUGUCCCAUAGAAAACAAGAGGCAAAACCAGGGAGGCAAACCACCAUACCUUGCCCGAGCCACGGCCCAUGUCGAGAUUGCUAGAGGCGAGUACAUGGUAUAUCUAGCAAUAAGCGAGAUAUUCUUCGCAAAAACAAACAACCAAAUGGGAACCGCUGCCAAUACAUAACAGAGCGGCUCCAGGCCACUUUAUGCAUUAAAGCCACGAUGAGCUUGGCGUACUUUCACUAUGAUGCUGCCUUCGUUGCAUCUGAAUUCUAAAUGCCAUCUUGUUUCCCGAUUGAUGAAGUCCACUCUCCGAACCAACUCCCAUCGUUGUCCUUUAAGAGAAUCUCAAAUGGACCCCGAAGACAGGGAGGGGGGAGGGGGUACUGAACGGUUUUUACUAGGCAUGAUCCCCACAAUAAUGCAACCUCAACCCUUCUUAAUAGCGUGACUUUCCUUAGAUUUAAAUAAACCAGAAAAUACUUCGAGUCCUUCGACAAACCGACACAUUUCCGGGGAGGGUGAGGGGUGAACCAUCUCCUUCCUUUUCAUCAAGGAACCAAUGUCGUCAAAUAAAUUUGAUAAAGGUCGUUAGUCCUACUAAACAUAUUAUCAUCACAACAAAAUACAAUUGGCGUCUAUAUGCACUCUCAAAAUUGUUUACUUUCCUUUUUUUAGUUAAAUGCACACAACUAAUUAAGAAAUAUAUUAAGAUAAAUACAUGUACGCAUUGAUGGGUUUUGUGUACUAAUAAUAACUACUUGAUUGGUUUUGUGUCAACGAACUCAUAGUUUUUUCAGUGAACAAAUAUAAAUCGCUUUGGCGGCUCAGCGUUCUUAUGGGCCGACCCAGGUGAGCGCCAUUGCAUAGUAGCGUCUGGUUGUGCCUGGGUGAGCUAUAUCUCUUAGUGCGAGACAAAUCGGUGUGUGUUCGGUGAGUGGGCCGACUAAGUGGAUUUCAGAACCCUCCAUGGGAGGCCUGGAUUAGUUUUAGGAACCUUCUGGUUGGUUUUCUGUCAAUUUUUUCUCCUUUUUGUAUGUUUUUUCUCUACUGGUUUUCAUCGGUUUUCUUUCUUUUUAUAUAUUUUUGUUUUCUUUGUUUUUCCCUUUUCCAAAUAUAUGCCAACUUUUGGUUAAUGUACAUUGAACAAUUUCGCUACAUAGGUUGAACAUUCUUCACAUACUCCUUGAUUUUUCUAAAUCUGCGUUAAAUAUUUUUUCUGUUUCACUUUUUCUGUUUUUCUCCUUUUUGUUUUUAGGUAUUUAUUUUUUAUUUUCAAAUAAAAAACUAAAUACUUGAUUUUUUAUCAAAGGUGUCUUGCAUUUUUUCCUCAAUAUAAACAAGGUUAUAUAUCAUAUCAACAAUUAUAUUUAGAUGGUAUGCAUACACCAAAGAAUUAAUCCAAAGAAGAAAAUCUCGAGAUAGAAUGAAACUUCUAAACUAUUCUCUAUCUUUUCUUUUCUUGAACGGGGAUCUAUAAACUACUAUCUGUUCUUCAAAACGAACAAAAAUUUCAAGGGGAAAAACAAAGGAAGAAAAUGAAACGUGAGAAGCAGAGAAAUGGUAAUACGAUGGGGGGCUUGGACUGGGUUGGCCUGCUACGUGUCGGGUGCAGCUGCAAGUCCAAUACACAUAGACUGAAGGCCCAAUGCCCACAAAAAAUCAUACUAAAUCGAGACGAUGGGGGUAAGAGGGGAGCUAUGCCUCUUAAGAUACAGUCAUAUGUAGAAGGCAUGUCUAAGGUUCAGUUUGCAAUUAGUGAAUUAUAAUGUCAUUUGCUUAUUUUAUAAUUAGGUAUGAAAAAUUAGACACAAAAGUAGGCAAAAACAGGUCAAAUAAACACGAAAAUAUGGACAAAAAAGGGUGGGGCAAACAAGAAUAUGAGAAUACACCAUGAUUCAAGCGCAUCAUAAAGUACCAAGUUAUAUAUUUCCGACAGUACUAGUAGAAGAAAAUUCACAAAAUAUUGAAGAAAUCUAAUUAGCAACAAAUGUCCUCUAGUUUGCUUUUUUCUUAAAGAAUAAGAUGAGAGGUUAGAAGUUCAAGUGCAUUGGGAUGCUUAGUUGUGUACUGACAAUAACAAUUUUGAUUUUUAGAGCAGAGUUACAGUUGGCGCAAAAUGUAAAAGAGAAAGGAGCAAGAGGGGUACUUAGGGCAUCUCCAGCCGCGCCCCCAGGAAGGCCUCCCCAGGUGUUUUUCUUGCGCCGAAGCCGAAAAAUCGGCCCAGUCGCGUCCCCAGGAGCCCGAUUUUCACCGGCCUGGGCCGAAAACAGCGCCGGCGGACCUAGGCCAAACCCGGUGCGCUGAGGGGCGCCCGAGGGCGCCGGGCGAACUUUUUUGGCGCGAAAAAGCCGCGGGCCCGCCGCGUCAGCGACACGGCUCUCUUCUCGCCCCUUCGUCGGCCUCAUCGCCUCGUUUCCCACGGAGAAUCAAUGCCAAAGCUACCGCGCUGCCGCGCCGGUCAGCCUGCACCAUUGAUGCCUCACGGGCGGCGCAGUGAAGGCCGGACGACGCGCGUCCCUCGCCCUCCCUCGCCCGCCACGCGUAACACGGCGGCCACGCGUACGGGCGGCGUCUCGGCCUAUAUAAGACGCGCAACAGCGUGCUCGGCGACCACACUCUCUCGCCGUCGUCGUUCCUCCCUUUCUUCUCUUUCGCCGUCGUUUCUCCCUCUCCUCUCUCUCGCCGUCUCCACUCAUGGCCGAGCGCUUCCCUGGUGACGGCGCGGCGGCGAACGGCUUCGGCCGCCGCCAUCUCCAUGAAGACGAGGCUCGCCUCCUUUACGAGGCCGGGUACCCGGUCCCGCCAGACAUGCGGGUGCCCGGCGUGUGGAGGAUCAGCGCCGGCGGCGCGCCGGUGCCACCACCACCCACCGGGGCGGCGCGGCGUGCGGAGAUCGCACGCAUCCGCGCGUCCCUACCGCGGCCGGCGAGGGAGGGGCCACGGUACGUCCCCGAUAGCCCGCUCUGGGAGUCCUACUUCCGCCGCCGUCACGCCGAGCAGCUCGAGGCCACCAACGGCGUCGAGCCCUCCGGCAGGCUCAACUCCAACGGCCGGCGCCGAUGGUGGGGCGUGCCCGGGCGCACGUUGGAGGCCGUCCUCGAGUACAUCAAGGGCGGCAACACGCCGUCCCUCGAGUACCCCGAUCCCCCGUCCUUCUCACGCCGCCGGGGAAGUUCCUGGACCUCGAGGCGCAUGGAGACCGGGGGGUCCUCCUCGUCGUCCGGUGGCUCGCCCUGCCUCCGCCCCGUCAAGCCAGAGCCCCAGGACACGCCGGUCAGUGCCCGCAUGCGCAGCUCCGGCAUCCGCAUCGGCGGCGCCAACGCCUCCCCACCCACCGGCCGCUUCGUCCUCGUCAAGCCCAAGCCGGAGCGCGGCCUCCCCGUGGAGUACGAGGAGAUAGCCCGGCGCGGCAUCUCCGACGAGGACGCCCUGCGCUGGGCGCGGGACGACUACCUCCGCGACGAGAUGGUCCGGCAGCGCCGGGCCCUGGAGGAGAUCGCCGCCCGCAAGCGUGGGCACGAGGACGAGCACGGCGUCGUGGUCCUCGACAGCGACGACGACGACGACGACGCCCUCGGACCGUCCAACCCGCCGUGCCAACCGGGGGAGGGAUGCAGCAAGGGCGACGGAGGCGCAGGCGGCGACGACGACGACGACGGCGGCGGCGACUACACGCGGUUCUACCGCCUCCUCGGCAUGUAAACCGCGUGGGCGGGCAGCGAGGCGGGCGGCGAGGGGGACGGCGGGGGUAGCUCGCCGAAGUUUUUUUUUAUAAAAUAUGUUUAAGUUUGAACGAACUCGCCGAUGUUUGCUUAAAUUUCAGUCGUGUUUGUGUCGUAUUUGAAUUUUUUUUAAAAAACGUGGGGCGCCGCGACUGGGGGGCAUCACGCCUCCAGUGCGCGGUUUAGCGCCGACACGCCCUCGGGGGCGAUUUUUAGGCGUCCUGAGAGGCCGAACGGCUGAAGAUGCCCUUAUUACCUGUUAUUGUCUCCACAGUGGUGACUUGGUUUUCUGAAAAUGUUUUUUUAUUGAUACAGGAAGGGCAGCAUCGACUUGGUUAUUUAUCCAGCAAUACUUGCCAUCCCGUGACAAGCAUUCUUCUACAGGAGUAUCUUGAUUUCUCAGUCCAAAACUAAUGCUGGUACAAAACUAAUGUUGGUACUCAGGAGUAUCUUAUUUGCCUAAUUGCACAUUACUCAGAGCCGCCAGUUUUGCCUAAAUGAUUUCUCAGUACGUACCUGUUUCUCAGGUUCAUUAUCCCGAGUUUAGUUCGGUUGCCAUGGUUGUCAUUUGCCUUGGCAUGUUUGUCUGAAAGCAACUUACUAGUACUCCCUUCAUUUUAAAAUAUAAUGCGUCCAUACUUUUUGAGAUUCAACUUUGACCAUAAAUUUAACCAAUAAGAUCAACUGCGGCGGGAGAAAAAUUUAUAUAAUUGAAAACUUCCUUUGAAUACGAAAUCACUGAUAUAAUAUUUGCUCCCGCCGCAAUCGGUCUUAGUAGUUAAAUUUACGGUCAAAGUUGAAGCACGAGGAUAGAGGAAGCACUACAUUAUGGAAUGGAGGGAGUAUCUCAUUUAGUAGUACUCCCUCUGUAAACUAAUACUCCCUCCAUUCCUAAAUAUAAGUCUUUGAAGAGAUUUCACUAUGGACUACAUACGGAGCAAUAUGAAUGAAUCAUACUCUAAAACGCUUUUAUAUACAUCUAUACGUGGUCCAUAGUGAACUCUCUACAAAGACUUAUAUUUAGAAACGAAAAGAGUAUAAGAGAAACACUCUUAUAUUACUUUACAGAGCGAGUACUUCUGAAAGCAACUUAGUGCUCUUUUAUUUAGUACUGUGAUAAAAGAUACAAGGUGUUAAUAACCAAAAGCUGACAGUCUCUGAAGCAAAGGCAGGUAACCAAACAUGCACAAAAUGGAUCGCAAGCAAAGGCAGAUAAACAAGAGAACAUGAUUGAAAGGAUUGCAUCUUUAGCCAUUCCGGACAUAAAUUAGAGAUAAAAUACAGCCCUCAGUGGCCCGUUCAUCAAACCAAUGAAAAAGUCACUACAGACUAGGCAAUUACAUACAUGAUCCAAUCAACCGAACCUCAUCUUUCUCUCCCUGCUAUGGAUCUAAGCAAUGUCAUGAUAGUAGUCUAUGGUGGCUGCUACUCCUUGGCAGCGACCUUCUUCUUGGGGGACUUGGUGGUGGUCUUCUUCUUGGGCGACUUGGCCUCCUUCUCUGCGGUGGCGGGGGACUUCUUGGGGAGAAGCACGGAGUUGAUGUUGGGGAUCACGCCGCCGUGGGCGAUGGUCACGCCGGCGAGCAGCCUGCCGAGUUCCUGGUCGUUGCGGACGGCGAGCAGCAGGUGGCGCGGGAUGAUGCGGGUCUUCUUGUUGUCCUUGGCCGCGUUGCCGGCGAGCUCCAAGACCUGCGAUUCAUAAAGGAAAUCGGUCAGUUAUCAGUCGAGCACGACGAGAACAGAGUAACGAAGGCUCCAGGAGGGGAGAGAUCGGUGCAUACCUCGGCGGCGAGGUACUCGAGGACGGCGGCGAGGUAGACGGGGGCGCCGGAGCCGACGCGCUGCGCGUAGCGGCCCUUCUUGAGGUAGCGCCCGAUGCGGCCGACGGGGAACUGGAGCCCGGCCUUGACGGACCUGGUCACCGCCUUCUUCCUGUCGCCGCCCUUCCUUCCGGCCAUCUUGCUUGCUACUUCUCCGGCGAGCUGGAAACUACUCGAGAUGCGUGGGCGGCGGUGCGGGAUCGGAAUGCGCUCUGCUCUGCGUUUGUGGGUUGGGACGCCAGCGAGGACGCGGCUUUUAUUGGGGAGAUGAAGCUUCGUGGGGACGGCGGCAGGGGGGAGCGAUCCGCGUGACGCAGUGUGCCUGCCGUUGGAUCUGUGGGGAGUGGGCGGUGGGGAUUGGUUUGGGGGUGCGAUCCGCGAGAGGGUCUUAUCGGCCAAUCACAGCGCAGGGAUUUGCAUCACGAAGGGAUUUUGCUUUAAUUAACACCUGGUUUUCCUUUUGUGCAUCAUUUAGGCUUUUUUUUCCAUUUUAUCUUGCAUCUAAUUGGUUUUUCAGAUGUAGUGGUAUUUGCUUAUACAUGUAUGUAUGUUUUGCUAUUACCUAACGUUUCGGUUUGGAUGCAUGUACUAAGGCCCCAAAUUGGAUUUGGUAUUCCCCAAAUUGCAAUCUGGUUGUUUGGGAUGCACACGAAAUAGUUGUCCGAAAUGGAACGAAUACAUGCAUGAAAUCGCUCACACAUGCCCGAGCCCUCCCACAUUUUUGAGCUCUUCGGCUUCGAUUUGGCUGGGAAUCACCCAUCGUGCAAAGGGUAAUGAUUUUUCCCUUCUUUUCCCCAUCGACAACGGCACCCAUAACCUCCCCUCGCCGGCCAUCCUCCUCCUCCUCCGGGACCUGAAUCCCCGACGCCACAGCUCGUUCCCCUCCUCCCAUGCCCCCCGUCUCCUCCUCACGUGGCCUCCACGGCCUGGCCCUAGCCGUCUGUCGCCGCUUCUCCUCCAAUAUUAGAACUACGAAAGGUACAUGAUGUUGAUGAAAGUAAUUAUCCUCACAAUUUGUGCCCACGCAAAUUGGCAACGAUAGAACGGAUCCGACAAAAUAGAAAGAGGAAAAAGAGCUCCAAGAAUAACCUUAAGAAAAUUUCUUGGGUAGAGCGUAAGGAUGGGCCUUACUAUCCCAAGAAUCUCCAUCCUCUCCACUAAGGUAAAAUAAUUCAAUUUCACUAGCUUAUUCUAACAAAGUUGUGUUGGCUGCAGGUUUUUGUGAAGGGUACCGAUGAAGCUAUGUACCUAGGGUAGGGUCAUGGACCUGUCCUAACUGCCCUACCCAAGGACAUCCCUAGAAGAAAUCACCUUUCAAUCGCCUUGGAGGUGUUCCACUCGACAGACUCGAAGACACUCGACCACGAAGCAACCACUCGACCAAGACCCAACCACUCGAUGGCCAGGAGACCUAAAGUCACUCCGCACGCUAACGGUCGGUCAUUGAGUAGGUUUUAUGGUCAUCAUAGCACUUUAUUAGAGGCGUUACCAGUAACGCCCGACCUUAAUGUACUUAAAUCCCUGCAUAACUGAGGGCCGAAGGGGCCUGGCGAACUCUAUAUAAGCCACCCCCUUCCUCAGUGUAAAGGGUUCGCACCCCUGUAAUUCAUACACACAUAAUCCAGUCGACCGCCUCCGGGCUCCGAGACGCAGGGCUAUUACUUCCUCCGAGAAGGGCCUGAACUCGUAAACCUCGCGUGCUUACAACUACUCCAUAGCUAGGAUCUUGCCUCUCCAUUCCUACCCCCCCUACUUUACUGUCAGACUUAGAACCACGACAGUUGGCGCCCACCAUGGGGCAGGUGUCUUAGCGACUUGUUGGAGAAGUUGUGAUUUUUUCCGAUCCCUUUGAUCAUGGUUUCGGGCGGAGUUUUGGUGGAGGGCCGCGAGAUCCGUCUCGGCGCGCUCACGUUCAUCGCUGACGACUCCGCUUGGCUUCAGGAGGCUCCACUCGACGUCGACGCGCUCCCCGUCCGCGGGGCGACGCACUUCCGCGCGUGCGUCCGCGGCGUCCUCCUGCGGCAGCCGUCGACCCAGUAUCGGUCGGCUCCUAUGGCGUCCUCCCUCCCUGUCUCCCGCCGGCGCAAGCGCUCCGGUCGGUCAAGGCUUCAGCGGUGGGUGAGGCAUGCGGUGGCCCGCCAGUCGGCCACCCCUCAAGUCGCGGCGAUCGAGCCCGACGAAUCCCUCUACGGCCUGUUCGACUGGCUCCGCAGAGACUGCAUCCGAGUGCGAUAACAGUGAUCCAGCAGCGGAGGUUCUGAUGGUUGAUGGACCACGCAGUCCUCCUGGCUUUCCCCGCAUAGACGGAAGCGAAGGCAGAGGCGACCCGUCGCAUGCCCAUGAGGAGUAUCUACCAGAGCCUCUCACUUCGCUGCAAAGAGAAGAACUUCGCCGCCGAAACAUGGAUGCGCUGCACACUCCUAUCGUUGGAGAAACCCCCGAGGCCCGUGCCUUGGAGGACGCGCGCCUGGCCAACUUGGCUGAGUGCACUCGACUGGAGAACCUCCAGCGAGCACUCGACGAGCGUGCACGACAACGGGUCCCAGAAUCCAUUCGCCGUCAGCUCUUUCCGCCCCCGUAGGUAUAUCGAACUCCGAUUCAGAAUUUAGCAGUAGCAGCCCAUAUAGCAGAGUCGAUUCAGCCUUCCCAGUCAGAGGCUGGCAGAGGCUUGCUGCAGAUCAGAGUGUUACUCCGGGCAGCAGGAGACCAGAAUUCCGUUGUUUCACAGUCGCGGAACAGGAUCCACAGCAAAUCCGUUGUUGCAGAUACAGUCCAGUCGGCUCACAACCCAAGAUCGCCCCCGAGGCAUGAGGGACGUGGAGACCGGCGUGAUCAGUACAGGAACCGUGAGCAGUAUGAUCACCUAUUCGAUCGUGACGAUCGACGUCGAGUGCCCACCCUCCCCCGAGGAGUGGGUCGUAUGUGCCUCGACAGCAAGAUGACAGGCGCCCUCACAGUGUUGGGCGAAGAAUUCCAGUCGAUCCCAGGGAACCAGGCUUUGAUGCGAGAUCCAUUCUCGUUCAAGGUUUGGUCGACAGGAAUAGAGCUCACCGAGAAGGUCAUGACAGAGAUGCACCUACCAGCAGCAGAGUGCAUGUUUCAGGGCCAGAGUGCUUUAGCAGAGCCAUCAGGGCCGCAGUGAUUUCUCCCAACUUCAGGUUGGCGACUGGAGUUAGUAAGUUCGCCGGAGAGUCCAAGCCUGAUACUUGGCUUGAAGACUACCGAGUGGCUGUUCAGAUUAGCGGCGGCAAUGAUGAAGUGGCCAUGAAGCACUUACCUCUCAUGUUGAAAGGCUCGGCCAGAGCGUGGCUGAAUCAGUUAGCACCCAGCAGCAUUUACACUUGGGAAGAUCUUGCCCGAGUGUUUUUCACAACAUUUGAAGGAACGUGCAAGCGACCAGCAGGGCUAACAGAAUUGCGGUCUUGCGUGCAGAAGUCAAAUGAAACUUUGAGGGAUUACAUCCAGAGAUGGAUCAUGUUGCAUCACACGGUAGAGAAUGUGUCUGAUCACCAAGCAGUCUGUGCCUUCAAGGAAGGCGUCAAGUACAGAGAACUGAAUCUGAAAUUUGGUCGAACCAGAGACAUGUCUUUGACUCGGAUGAUGGAGAUUGCCACCAAGUAUGCUAAUGGUGAAGAUGAGGAUCGACUCCGGAGUGGUAAGCUCAAGUUAGUCGCCCAAGAAACCGGAGGAGGAAAUUCCAGUCGGAAACAGUAGCGGAAAGCCAAGCCAGCUGCUCCUGGGGAAGCCUUGGUUGUAACUCAAAAAAAGUUUAAGGGGAAACCCAAAGGGCCUUGGAACCCCAAGAAAGUUAAAGACCAAGAUGGAAAUGAUGUGUUGGAUUUGUCAUGUCACAUCCACACAAAGAAAGAUGAAGAGGGUAAACUCAUUUACCCGAAACAUACCACUCGACAGUGUCGGCUCUUGAUCCAGCAAUUCCAGGGCAAACAUCCCAAAGAUAAGGAAAAGGAGUCGGACAAAGUUGAGGACAAGGAGGAUAGUGAUGAUGGAUACCCCUAGGUCAAUUCCACCCUGAUGAUUUUUGCUGAUGUUGAAAGCAAAAGUCGACUGAAAGUUAUCAACCGUGAGGUGAAUAUGGUUGCUCCGGCGACACCCAGUUAUUUGAAGUGGUCUCAGACUGCCAUCACAUUCGACCAGUCCGAUCACCCAACGCACAUUGCCACCCCUGGGAGGCAAGCUUUGGUGGUCGACCCAGUUGUCGAAGGCACUCGACUGAUGAAAGUCUUUAUGGAUGGUGGCAGUGGUUUGAACAUACUGUAUGCAGAGACGUUGAAAGGGAUGGGCAUUCCGAUGUCCAGACUCAGUACUAGCAACAUGAGUUUCCAUGGAGUCAUUCCUGGGAAGAAGGCUGAGUCACUCGGCCAAAUUGCUCUUGAUGUGUUUUCCGGUGAUUCCAAGAAUUACCGCAAAGAAAAGUUGACGUUCGAAGUUGUAGAUUUCCAGAGUGCUUACCACGCUAUUUUGGGCAGGCCAGCUUAUGCAUGUUUCAUGGCUCGACCAUGUUAUGUGUACCUCAAAUUAAAGAUGCUUGGUCCCAAAGGUGUGAUCACUGUUACGGGCAAUCGGAAGAAGGCAGAAGAGUGUUUUCAGAAAGGCUCAAAGAUCGUUGAUGCUCAGAUGGCAGUGGUAGAGCUGCAGGAGUACCAGAAGACUGCAGACCCGAGUGAUUUGUUGCGAGCUAAGAAGCCUGCUACGGAAUCAACGUUUCAGUCGGUGAGACAAAGCCGAUUCACAUUCACCCGACCGAUCCCAACGCUGCUCCGACCCAUAUCUCAACAACACUCGACUCCAAAUAGGAAGAAGCGCUCAUCCAGUUCCUCCGUGAGAACUGGGACAUCUUCACAUGGAAGCCUUCUGACAUGCCAGGUGUUCCCAGGGGGCUGGCUGAGCACCGCCUAUGAGUCGACCCAAAAAUUAAACCUGUCACAGAGCAUCUUCGACGGUCCGCCGUCCAGAAGAGAAAGGCCAUUGGCGAAGAGGUGGCUCGGCUCUUAGCAGCAGAGUUUAUCCGAUAGAUUUACCACUCCGAGUGGCUCGCCAAUGUUGUCAUGGUCCCCAAAAAGGACAAGUCACUUCGCAUGUGCAUUGACUUUAAACAUAUCAAUCGGGCCUGCCCGAAAGAUCAUUUUCCUCUCCCCCGCAUCGACCAGAUAGUCGACUUGACCGCGGGAUGUGAGCGCCUGUCUUUUUUAGACGCUUAUUCCGGGUACCAUCAGAUCCAUCUGUAUGGACCCGACGAGAUCAAAAUAGCUUUCAUCACUCCAUUCGAAUGCUUCUGUUAUGUUACCAUGCCAUUCGGCCUCAAGAAUGCCGGAGCCACGUUCAUGAGGAUGAUUCAGAAGUGUUUGCUCACUCAAAUCAGUUGGAAUGUGGAAGCAUACAUGGAUGAUAUUGUGGUCAAGUCACGGAAGAGUUCCGACCUGCUGACUGACCUUGCUGAAACCUUUGCCAACCUCGGGAGGUAUGAUAUCAAGCUUAAUCCAUCAAAGUGCACAUUCAGAGUUCCUGGCGGAAAGUUACUCGGUUUUCUCGUUUCCAAACGGGGAAUCAACGCCAAUCCAGAAAAAGUUGGUACUAUAUUCCGAAUGAAACGUCCUGUGCGUGUGCACGAUGUCCAGAAGCUUACUGGUUGCUUGGCCGCUUUAAGUCGAUUCAUCUCUCGUCUCGGUGGAAAGGCAUUGCCUCUUUACCAACUGAUGAAGAAGUCAGACAAGUUCGAGAGGACUCCUGAAGCUGAUGCAGCGUUUGCAGAGCUCAAAGCUCUGCUCUCCACCCAGCCGGUGCUUGCUACCCCAAUCAGCAAAGAGCCUUUGCUACUUUACAUUGCAGCCACGGGACAAGUCGUCAGUACAGUACUUACGGGCGAGCGGGAAGAAGAAGGAAAGGCCUUCAAAGUUCAGCGCCCAGUAUAUUAUGUUUCUGAAGUUUUGACCCCGUCAAAGCAAAGAUACCCUCAUUAUCAGAAGCUUGUAUAUGGGAUUUAUAUGACCACAAAGAAGGUUGCUCACUACUUCUCUGAUCAUUCCAUUACAGUCGUCAGCGAUGCUCCAUUGUCAGAGAUUCUGCACAACAGAGAUGCAACUGGUCGAGUGGCAAAAUGGGCGAUUGAACUCCUUCCCCUAGAUAUCAAGUUUGAGGCAAAGAAAGCUAUCAAGUCCCAAGCAAUAGCAUAUUUUGUCGCCGAGUGGAUUGAACAACAACUGCCGACUCAAGUUCACUCGGAGCAGUGGACCAUGUUCUUCGACGGUUCCAAGAUGCUGAAUGGUUCCGGUGCUGGGGUAGUAUUGGUUUCCCCCCGAGGAGAUAAGCUUAGAUAUGUUCUCCAAACCCGCCUUGCAAUGCCGAAGACAAUCUGCGCGCCAGGCUUCAAUGACGACGAGUCCGACGCGCAGAUUGUCUUCGGCAUUGCAAGGCGGGUUCCUCCUCCAAGUACUUCAUAGAAGAUUUUGAACACCAGGAUAGUGUCCGGCUCUGCAAAAUAAGUUUCCACAUACUGCCAUAGAGAGAAUAAUAUUUACACAAAUCUAAUCUGCUGACGUAUUCCGCAGCGUGACAUCACACCACGGCCAAGCCUUUAUUCGAAUCGUUUUUAUUGUCCCACCUCAGCGCGUUUAGCGAGGCAGUUUCCUUGGCACGUCCUGUUGACGCAGAGAUCGUGUUCCCUUUAUUUACGGGAUUCUCAUCAAUACGGAUGUGGGUGACCCAAUCGUGCCCGUUGGCAUGUUUUCUCGAUUAAAGGCGAGUCCCAAACGGUUACGGGGAGGGCCCUUGGUAUUCAACCUCUUAUAAAGAGACUAAGGCCUUACUCCUUUCUUUCAAUCUCAAACGAUUUCGCCCUUCGCCUCGAGUUCCAACACCCAAGGCUCCAGAUUUCGGGCGCUUCGAAUCUUCGACAAUGUCCGGUUCCGACCUUCGAGGCCGAUGGGUGCCCUCUUCCAUCACGGAGGAGGCCGUGCUAAAGCUGAGAGAGGCCAGGUUCUUGACCGGCGAAAUCUUGCAUAGGUUGCCUGCUCAAGGGUAGGUCAUUCCCACUCCCAAGCCUAGUGAGAGCGUGGUGUUCAUAUCUCACUUCCUUCGGGGGCUAGGCUGCCCGAUGGAUCCCUUCGUGAGGGGGCUCAUGUUUUAUUAUGGGCUGGAAUUUCACGACUUAGCUCCGGAGUCCAUCCUCCACAUUUCCUCUUUCAUCGUUGUGUGUGAAGCCUUCCUCCAUGUUACUCCUCACUUCGGACUAUGGCUCAAGACCUUCAAAGUAGUGCCGAAGACGAUCGAGGGGCGGCACGCAGAGUGCGGAUGCGCUGUUAUAAGCAAGAAUGCUGAUGCUCCAUGGCCUGAGGGCUCUUUUCAAGAGGAGUCCAGCUUAUGGCAACGAGAGUGGUUCUAUAUCACCGCUCCCAGGGGCACCAAGUGGGUGGCGCCUCCUGCCUUUCGCUCGGGUCCCCCACCACAACUAGCGUCAUGGGUCAAUAAAGGAUUAGACUGGGGGUCAUCCAAGGACGUGCCCUUGUUGCAGGGCCGCAUCAGGGAUCUCUUAGAAAGAGACCUCAGCCUGGUCAAGGUGACACAGGUCAUGCUGAUCCGCCGAACCCUGACCGGCAAACGUCGCUCCCUUCGCCUAUGGGAGUUUAAUCCGGAGGGACCGCGAGCUCUCCAGCAUUUCAUGGGCGCAACGCUCGUGGAGAUGUAUAAAUUGUUCUUCGGAUCACAAGCAACGUGUCCGGACUUGACCGAGGACGCAGGUCUGAGCUGCAAUCGCCCGGAUACUCAAGUAAGUAGCCUUGUGCCCGGACUCGCUUAUCCGUAUAUUUGUCAUAAAACUUGCCCCUAAAGAGCUGUUCUUUAAGCAGGAGUGGAUAGCGAAAGCAAAGCUUAUCAGGUGUCCGGCUCCCCUCCCCGAGACCACGCAGGAUCCCGUGCUGGUCAGAAUGUUGAAGAUUGUGCCUUUGGAGGAAAGCAAGGGAGGGGACUAGGAAACUACGGCCUCCUCGAAGGAGGCUGUUCGGAGGGAAGGAAUCGAAAAUUCCUCUCCUUAGGUGAAGAAGAGGACCGCCUCUGAAGACCCGGAGACCAUGGCCUCAAAAUGGGGGAAGAAACCCUCGUCAGAGGGUCCUGCGCCGGGGGAUACCCCGGCCGAAUUAUGCCCUCAAGGGGGUCAGCCAUCCAUCGAGCCGUAAGUAUAGAGAGGUUUUUCUUUGAGAAGAAUCCUUGUUUUAUAUCUGAGAAGAGUAACCGAAAAUUUACCUUGUAGUUCGGACCUCAGCCCUUCUUGGCAGAGCUCGUCUUCGGGGGAUCUUCUUUCGGAGAUGAUGGAAAGCGGAACGCCUCCCCCUGCCGUACCGCCUAGCGAGGCGGGCGACCCCGAGGUAUCAUCGCGGAGGGUUUCUCCAAAUCCAGCAGGGGCGGAAGGUAGCCAUAUGGCCCCCCAAGGCUCUCCGCGUCCGGCCUUCGAAACAGGCCAUAGGACGAGUCCGGCACCGUUCGGUGCGCGGUCGGAGGAGCUGAAGAAUCUGCUAGGGCGAGCAUCUAUCUCGGAGGAGCACCGUGCAUUGAUGGGCACGGUGAUUGAAAGGAUUUCAUCCGCGGAAAGCGGAUUGCACGAGGCCGUUAGAAGUUUACCGACGGGUUUUGAGGUAUGCGGAAUAACACACCCUUUUUGACAGUUGUGCAUAAAUAAUAUGCGCCCUGUGUAGAUAGUAGCCCCUGAGACUCUGUGCGUUGUCAAAAAGUGACGGCGCAUAGAGGAUCAUAAUCCCAGGUCUAAAAUGCCGCCUUUGUAUGUAGGUGGCGAAGUGUCCGGCAUCCAGCCGGACUGAUGAAUUUGCCGAGCUAAAGCAGCAACUUGACGUGGCAGAUGCCGACAUCGUGCUUGUUAACAAGCGGCUGGACGAGACACAAGGUAUGUAAUCCCUCCGGUGGCACCUGGUAAGAGGAGCUUUUUAUGCCAUUUUCUUACUAUGUGUAUGCUUGAUGCAGAUGGUGCGACUGCCAUGGAGAAUCUUCGGGCGGAACUUGCCCGAGCCAAGGAGCAAGCCAGAAAAAGUGAUGCGGCUACCGGAAAGUCAAUUGAAGAGCUGAAAGCCAAACAGGUUGCUCACUGCCGAAGCAAGAAGGAAAUGGCCGAGAUGGCCGUGAAGCUGAAGAGCGCUGCUGACCGUUGCAAGCUUCUUGAAAAAGAAGACCGAGCGGGACAGACGGACUUAGAGAAGGCCAUUGCCGAUGCCAAGGAUGCUCGCUCUGCGAUGAGAGCGGCGAAGAAGGAGCUGCGUCAGGCCGGAGAAAUCGCGGCUGGAAAGCCCUUUAUGCUGCGGAGGAAGUUUUGUGAUCCUAAGCAUGCUCUGCUAGAGCGGUUAUGGAGUACGGCGGACACCUAUCUGGAUUUGGCAGCGAGUGCUGCUGAUGCGACCGAGCACUUUCGAGAUCAAGAAGAUCGCGAAGUGGAAAAGCUCUUCUGGUCGCAGUUCCGCAAUCCAGAGCAUCCACUGUCGGUGGCCGAUCGUCUGGCCGAAUGGGCCGAACUGAAUAGGUUGUCCGGACUCGCCAUGAAGUGCGUCAUGAGUCAUCUGUGACUGGAGAGAUCGGAGCCGAAAAGUUAUUUCAGCUUGGUGCAGCAGUUCCUUGGUGCGGUGCCGCGUAUUAAUGCAGUGAAGAGGUCAGCAUGCAUAGAGGGUGCACGGAUGGCUCUUGCCCGUUUCAAGACAUACUGGGCGGAGAUGGAAACCACCGCUGUUGCAUCCCGAGAUUCGGACGGAAGCCGAGUACCUGCCGAGCACUAUUUUCCAGAAGUUCUGCAAGGCGCUCAUGUAAUAGAGACGCAGUGCUCUAAGGAUGCUAUAUUCGAAUAGCAUGUGUUAUUGUAAAACAAUAUUUUGAUAAAUUGUAGAAGCUUUUUAUACUUGUGCCCUCAAGUAUUGUAACACCUCCUGUGCGGCCGUUUAAGAUAUAUAUAUAUAUAUAUAUAUAUAUAUAUAUAUAUAUAUAUAUAUAAUCUGAAAGAUGACAGUCGUUGGCUUCAGCCCCCACGCAAAUAAUGCGGGGGUGUUCGCAGAAGGCGUAUUUUCACACUUGAUCCAACGUCUUGGUCCUACAAAGGAGGUGAUAGCACAUCGAACUAGGCAAUCGGACUAUAAUGCUUUAUCACUUUCACUUAGCCAUAGGAGCUUGACAGUGAGGCUACUUAGAUAGCCCCUGGUGGCGACCGCGCUCGCCCGAAUUCGGGGCGCGUAUGUGCCUGGUCGGGAAAUGGCCCUUCGUUAAUAUGGAGGAAUCCUAUAGAUUCCGGUAAGUCAUUGAGUGGUUGACCAGUCUCACGCUAUAUCAUGACAGUCAUUUUUCGGCUUUCUCUACUAAGGUGCUCGCCUGGACGAACCGGGGCACAAUCGCAGUAGUUCUCCUGGUGCCAUCUUAGCCGAUAGAGCGGAACGUAAGGCAGCAAAACACAGGAGCCGGGCAACCCAACAUUUGACCAAAGACAUGAUUCGGAGCUGAUGCAUAUAAGGCCAAACUCGCGACGCCGAACACUCCCUAAGGUAUUCGGUCUUUAUGAGGGCGGGCAAGACAACGCCUUUAGUUAUAAGCCCCUAGUGUCCAGGUACGCGCAAAAAUUCUGACGUGGCCACAUGCCAAGACGCCAGCCUCCUCCUUGGUUAUACAAAAGAAAAAACCAGGGGAUGUGUAUCAACAAGAGACAGUAAAAAAGGUUUACGCAGGGUCUUAAUCUGAAAAGAAUCCUUGGAACGGGUCCUUGCUGCACGUCUGCGCCUGUGUCUCCAUUGUGCCUUAUCCUAGACGGGCGCAACACGGUGUUCAUCUGUAAAAGAGAGGAACUUAGUUGAAAAAAGGAGCGUGCCGAACUGAAAUAAACAAAGUAUAAAUUGAAAUGGGUAAAAUUGAGCUUGAUUUUCUCUUAUUUUAUAUGCGCUGAGCCCCUAGUGCAGGGGUAUACGGCUAUUAAGCCUUUAUUAGUUAUAUGUUUAUACCGGACUCGUCUAGACGUGUCCGUGGUCUUAACGACCUGUUUAGAUGUUUUCGCUGGUGAAGCCGUUUUAUUGUGGGGCUAUUAAGGCAGCCGCACAAUGGGGGGGGGGGCGCACUCAAUGUUUUCCCUUUAAUGAGAUGAUGCCUUGUGGACCGGGCAUCUUGAGCGUAAGAGACGCAUAAUGCGGUAUUGCGUUAAAGCGGGCGAAAGCUUCGCGUCCCAGUAGUGCUUGAUAGCUACUUGAAAAAUGGGGCGAUAUGGAAGGUUAGCCUUUCACGACGGAAGUUGUCGGGGGUGCCGAACAUAACUUCUAGCCGGAGAGAGCCCGUGCAAUGGGCAACCGGGCCUGGCGUUACUCCUUGAAAGGAAGUGUUGCCAUGGCGGACUUUUGUUGGGUCUAUCCCCAUGCGGCGGAUUGUGUCCUGAUAUAACAGGUUUAGACUAUUGCCGCCGUCCAUCAGGACAUUUGUAAAGUGGAGUCCGCCAAUUAUUGGAUCUAAUACCAAGGCAGUCCAGCCUGCGUUCCUGAUACUUCUAGAGUAAUCUAGAUGAUCGAAGGUGAUUGGUUUUAACAACUAGUGGCGAGACUCCUUUGGGAUAGGCCGUACGGCGCGUACCUCUAUGGGCGCCGCUCGUUUUGUUAUGUGAAGUAAGUUUACUGUUUUUACUUCUUAUGGGAAAUUCUUUUGUUUCCUGGUGCUCUGCUUUUGGGGUUCGUCAUCGUCUUCGCUUGGUGUGUCGAGCCCCUUGUGUUCGGCGUUGAGUUUGCCGGAUUGCUUGAAAACCCAACAAUCUCUGUGGGUAUGGUUUGCAGGCUUCCCGGGAGUACUGUGUAUUUGACAUAUCUUGUCCAAGAUUUUGUUUAAAUUGGAUAGCUCGUCCCUGUUAUCCUUGAGGGGCUUAGCUGCAGUCCAGUACUCGCCUAAGUGUUUGAAAAUCCUACCGAGUGGUGAACCAGCCUCCCACUCGGGGGCUUAGUUGCAGUCCAGUACUCGCCUAAGUGUUUGAAAAUCCUACCGAGUGGUGAACCAGCCUCCCACUCGGGGGCUUAGCUGCAGUCCCAGUACUCGCCUAAGUUUAAAAAAUCCUACCGAGUGGUGACCCAGCCUCCCACUCGGGGGCUUAGCUGCAGUCCAGUACUCGCCUAAAUGUUUNNNNNNNNNNNNNNNNNNNNNNNNNNNNNNNNNNNNNNNNNNNNNNNNNNNNNNNNNNNNNNNNNNNNNNNNNNNNNNNNNNNNNNNNNNNNNNNNNNNNNNNNNNNNNNNNNNNNNNNNNNNNNNNNNNNNNNNNNNNNNNNNNNNNNNNNNNNNNNNNNNNNNNNNNNNNNNNNNNNNNNNNNNNNNNNNNNNNNNNNNNNNNNNNNNNNNNNNNNNNNNNNNNNNNNNNNNNNNNNNNNNNNNNNNNNNNNNNNNNNNNNNNNNNNNNNNNNNNNNNNNNNNNNNNNNNNNNNNNNNNNNNNNNNNNNNNNNNNNNNNNNNNNNNNNNNNNNNNNNNNNNNNNNNNNNNNNNNNNNNNNNNNNNNNNNNNNNNNNNNNNNNNNNNNNNNNNNNNNNNNNNNNNNNNNNNNNNNNNNNNNNNNNNNNNNNNNNNNNNNNNNNNNNNNNNNNNNNNNNNNNNNNNNNNNNNNNNNNNNNNNNNNNNNNNNNNNNNNNNNNNNNNNNNNNNNNNNNNNNNNNNNNNNNNNNNNNNNNNNNNNNNNNNNNNNNNNNNNNNNNNNNNNNNNNNNNNNNNNNNNNNNNNNNNNNNNNNNNNNNNNNNNNNNNNNNNNNNNNNNNNNNNNNNNNNNNNNNNNNNNNNNNNNNNNNNNNNNNNNNNNNNNNNNNNNNNNNNNNNNNNNNNNNNNNNNNNNNNNNNNNNNNNNNNNNNNNNNNNNNNNNNNNNNNNNNNNNNNNNNNNNNNNNNNNNNNNNNNNNNNNNNNNNNNNNNNNNNNNNNNNNNNNNNNNNNNNNNNNNNNNNNNNNNNNNNNNNNNNNNNNNNNNNNNNNNNNNNNNNNNAAAAAAUCCUACCGAGUGGUGAGCAAUCCUCCCACUCGGGGGCUUAGCUGCAGUCCCAGUACUCGCCUAAGUUUAAAAAAUCCUACCGAGUGGUGAGCAAUCCUUCGACUCGGAGGCUUAGCUGCAGUCCCAGUACUCGCCUAAGUUUAAAAAUCCUACCGAGUGGUGAGCAAUCCUCCCACUCGGGGGCUUAGCUGCAGUCCCAGUACACACCUAAGUUUAAAAAUCUUACCGAGUGGUGAGCGAGCCUCCCACUCGAGAGACUUAGCUGCAGUCCAGUACUCGCCUAAGCUUUCUCCACCUCAGAGCUGCAUUCCAAGCACAAGGAGUAUUCCAAGUAAAAACAAGUUCCAGUCGAAAGGAAACACCAGCAUACUCAGAAACAAACCAAGUUCGGAUAAAUCCCAAGGUUCCAAACGGCAGAUCAAAAGUAUUCGAGCAUCAAGCCCGAAGAAGUUUAACGGUUACACCAUCACUCGGCAUUCCGAGGCAAAUUUAAAGCGAAGCAUAGAAGUUUUACUCCUCAGGUGGAGGACUAGAGGGCGCGACAAACUGGUCCAGGUCAAUCCCGUCAGCAAUUCGAGUGGCAGCAGCAAUGAAGGUCUCCAUGAAAGACUGAAAGUUGUGCUUCCUGGUAUUGGCAACUUGGAGAUCCGCCAGCUUUUCCUCUCGCGCCUCCUUGCAGUGAACACGGACCAAGGGCAGAGCGACGUUAGCGCCACACCUAGCAGAAGACUUCUUCCAUUCCUGCACUUGACCUGGAACUUCAUUCAGUCGAGUCAUCAGAGACUCAAGGUCAUUUUGAAGCGUCGUUCCAGGCCAGAGCAUCAUGUCGAUCCGUGACGCCGCAACCUUCAGUCGAGCAAGGUAGUCCACCACUCCAGCAAUACGAGACUCCAGUCGGAGCACGUUCAUAGCAGCCUCAUCCUUCACCGGAGAAUGAAUGGGGUCCAAGUUCGUCUCCACUCGACUGGUCUCCUCCUCGAAGUUCUGGCAGAAUUCUGUAAACACAAUUCAAAGAUAAGUCAGUGGCUCUACAAUGGAUUGAUGACAACAAGUCAGUCGGGUAGGAGUGAUUACCCUCAAGCAUGACAAAUAACUUCUUGGCGAGCUCACCCAAAUAAGCCUCCAGAUCGUUCUUCUUCCCCGCCAGUUCACUUGCCUUGUCAUUCAGAGCUAUCUUGUCAUUCUUCAGACGGCUGGCCUCUUUGUUGGCGGCGUCGAGAGCAGUUUUUAGUUUGGAGUUCUCCUCUUCGAGAUUACCGACUGAAGCCAGCUUUUCUUCCGCAAACCUCGUUUUGUCCAAAGCCGCCUUCUGCGCCUCGGCAAGGUCAUGGUCCUUCUUCUUGAGAGCCUCCUCCAUUUUAUCUGCAAAACAAUCAACGGGAUCAACAUCAGAAAUGGGCAGAAAAGAAAGACAGUCGUCAAGUUCUCACCAGCCAUACCUUGCGCUUCAUCCCUCGCCUUCUGCAAGUUCUCCUGGGCAAGCUUCAAGUCGAGGUUGAGCUGGAUCUGUUUGUUUUCCAAUUCAGUAUAGCGAGCCACAAGCUUGCAGGAUUUUUGCAAAGAGUCAGUCGACAGACGUCAAAGAUAGGUUGCUUCCGAAGGACUAAGAGAAAAAUCGUAACAUUUCGAAGACUACCGUCGAAUCAAAAAUAUCCGACAGUAGUCUCCGGGACUACACCUAGUGGGUGCACUCAGCGUGCCCCCACUGGUUUGACCGACUCGGCUCGACCAGUCGACAGAAAGAGACUAAGAGGUUAUGAUCUCAUCAUGAUCUGCAAAAAAAGAGGGAGGUUCUUCAGACCUUAGUCGACUGCCAGCAAUCGACCAUGGUCUCGGGGACUACACCCAGUGGGUGCACUCAGCGUGCCCCCACUGGUUCCAAGAUCCCAUUCGAAAUGGCCUGACCAGACCGAGUGAAGAAAUUCGAGUAAAGCAGCACAAUAUAAAGACUACAGUCGACUGCCAGCAGUCCACCGUAGUCUCGGGGACUACACCCAGUGGGUGCACUCAGCGUGCCCCCACUAGUCCAAAAAAUUCAAUCGACACACCCAGUGGGUGUACAGAUGCAAAGAUCUUCGGAAAAGAGAGUCUUUAGAUAACACAUCCCAACAGAACAAGCGAUGGUCAACUAACCUGGACAUUGCUUUGAAGAGCUGAACUGGCAUCAUAGGCCGCUUGGCUGGCUUCUCGGACCACCUUCACCUGCUCCAUCAUGAUCCCCGCCUGGCGUAUAGCCUCUUUAGCAGCACCCACUUGGUCCUCUGGGAUGUGGUGUGUGGCAAAAAGGGAGGGCGGAUCAGCAGUCGACGAUGAAGGCCGAACACUCGUCAGCGGCACAACGAAGGACACAGAAGUCCGAGUGGUGUUACCACCCUCCUGAACUACUGUCUCAGGCGCUGACGCAGUUUGUGGUGUCUUGCCAGUUGACUCCUUCCUAUUCUUCCUCGCCCUCAGCGGCACUUCGUCAUCAUCAUCAGGAAGAUCAAUGACAUGAGGAGGAGCUAUAAGAAAAAUCCAAAGUUAAAGACGAAAAUCCAAUCGACCAGAGGAGACCGUCAAUCGACUAAGAGUGAAACAUCAAAAACUAUACCAAGGUUGGAGGUAACAGCGUCUUCCAUUUCCUGGUCGUCGUUCUUGGCGGAGAUCUCGGAGGUAGCAGCACUGCAGAUUUCAGAAACCAGUCGGUUUAGUCAAUGAGUCGACCAAGAGUUCGUCCAUGUUCAACAAAAAAAGCAAGUUCUGCUGUUACCCGGAAAUGGUGGGAACGGUCAUCUUCAUCUUGGGCAAGGCCUUCAGUGGCUUUGACGACGCCGCUCGUGGAUGCUUUGGCGCUUUUUCAGUCGGCGCUGGGGAAGACGUCCGAGGGCGUUUUGACGACUGCCCAACAGGCACGGUCGCCCUGCCUCGUUCGCGCGCAGGGUCGUGGGUGAGCUUGGAUCGCCUUUCCGUGCGGGGAGGAUCGACUUCUUCCUCCUCCUACUCUCCACUGGAGUCGUCGUCAUCAUCCUCCUCCCCUUCACCGUCAGAUUGCCACUCUUCUCCAGUUUCGCCUCCGCUCGCUUCCCCCUCCUCGACCUGCUCUUGCGCCCCGUUGGGCAUCGAGUACAUAUCAGUAAUGGUCUGGAAGACAACAAACAAGACAAAAGUCAGUCGACUAUUUUUAAGCAAACAAAAUGAAGAAAGCAAGGUCACAGUCAAAGAUGCAGAAUCGGACCUGGUCUACUUCGUACGUCUGGUCGAGGGGAGGAAUCCUCCUGGCUCCUCGGGGGUUGUCCUUGUUCCCUGUGAUACUUGACAGCCACCCUUCCAACGUCGCAUCGUCGACCUCCUUUGGAUGAAUCCGAGUGGUGUCAUCGAGACCCGAAUACAUCCACAUCGGAUGGUCACGAGCUUGGAGUGGCUGGAUGCGCCUCCGAAGGAAGACCUCUAAUAAAUCCAUGCCAGUCACCCUGUCGCGGACAAGCUGAACCACUCGACCGACCAACACUUUGACUUGCGCCUUUUCUUCUGGUGUCACUCUCAGAGAGGAAGGUUUUUCUGCUUGGUUCAGGGAGAAAGGGGGAAGGCCCGUCGCCUGUCCUGGAGUCGCCCGGUCUUUGCAGUAGAACCAGGUCGACUGCCACCCGCGGACUGACUCGGGAAGAGUCAUAGCUGGAAAAGAACUUUUGCUUCUCAUUUGGAUCACAAGGCCCCCGCACAUCUGAAUCACUUGCGUCCUCUCAUCACUCGACUUGGCUUUCUUAACCGACUGAGAACGACAAGUGAAAAUGUGCUUGAGGAGGCCCCAAUGGGGACGGCAACCCAAGAAAUUCUCGCACAAAGAUACAAAGGCAGCAAGAUACACGAUGGAAUUUGGAGUAAAGUGAUGGAGCUGCACUCCGAAAAAGUUCAAGAAACUCCGGAAGAAAGAAUGAGGAGGCAGAGAAAAUCCGCGGUCGAUGUGAGUGGUGAAGAGGACGCACUCACCCUCGCGAGGCUGAGGUUCGAUCUCGUUCCCCGGGAGACGCGCAGAUUCAUGGGGAAUGAAUCCCCCGUCGAUCAGAUCAUCGAUGUCAUCUUGCCGAAUCGCCGAGGGCAUCCAAUCGCCCUAGAUCCAGUCCUUCGGCAGAGCGAACCUCGAAGAAGAUCCGCCCCGACCGGACUUCCUGGCCUUCGCCCGCUUCGUCGCUUUCUUCGCACGCUCCAGGGCCGUCGUCUUCUCCUUCACCAUCGCCGCGGAUGAAGCUCGAACAGGCCGUCAACGCUGAGACGAGAGCAGAGGUGGCGGAAGAAUUCGAGAAGGAAGGGGAAAUGUGAAGGCGCACUGUUCAAAAGCCCUGGCCCGGCAGCUUAUAUGGGGUCGCUUCCGAGUGACUGACCUGUAGGCCCAGGCGAUCCUGUUAAAUCCCGCAAUAGUCACGCACGCGAUACAUGGCGAAAAAGGUGGCGUGGAGAUCGAGGAGGCUCCAUUCUAUCCCAUCCGAUUACUGCGGCCUCCUUCGUCCCCGCGCUUCCCGAAAUUCGAAUCCCGCGAAAUCCGCGGGCAGCAGAACAACUCGUCAGAUGGAGGAUCCCCUCCACACAACCACUCGGGAAUCUACAAGUAAAGGAAUUCACUCGAUUAAAGAAAACUAAGAAUGGAUCAAGGUGACUGAAAAAGAAGUUGGUGACGUCACCCAGGUUCAUUGAUCCGAAACAAGGUGUACUCAUGGCACGAAGAAUGGGUCGGAAGAAUUCUCAACUCCUUCCCCACUCAAACCUCGAUCCAUUCAGGGGCUAAUGAUGAAGCUAUGUACCUAGGGUAGGGUCAUGGACCUAUCCUAACUGCCCUACCCAAGGACAUCCCUAGAAGAAAUCACCUUUCAAUCGACUUGGAGGUGUUCCACUCGACAGACUCGAAGACACUCGACCACGAAGCAACCACUCGACCAAGACCCAACCACUCGACGGCCAGGAGACCUAAAGUCACUCCGCACGCUAACGGUCGGUCAUUGAGUAGCUUUUAUGGUCAUCAUAGCACUUUAUUAGAGGCGUUACCAGUAACGCCCGACCUUAAUGUACUUAAAUCCCUGCAUAACUGAGGGCCGGAGGGGCCUGGCGAACUCUAUAUAAGCCACCCCCCUCCUCAGUGUAAAGGGUUCGCACCCCUGUAAUUCAUACACACAUAAUCCAGUCGACCGCCUCUGGGCUCCGAGACGUAGGGCUAUUACUUCCUCUGAGAAGGGCCUGAACUCGUAAACCUCGCGUGCUUACAACUACUCCAUAGCUAGGAUCUUGCCUCUCCAUUCCUACCCCCUACUUUACUGUCAGACUUAGAACCACGACAGGUACGACUGCUGGUACAAGCGUGACUACUCGUACCACACCCUAUCGUGCCUCUAUUAAAUUUUUACCAAUGCCAAGAGACUCGGUAGUGCUCGUACCAUGGGCCAAAUUCUUCUUUGAAUGGAGGCAAUGUCUUUGACGACAUGGUAAAACCUAUGUUACAAGCACGAGCACUCAUACCAUAGGCUGUCUUCCCCUUUGACCCCAAAACCUUAAAAGCAUUUUCUUUUUCCCAUGUGUUGGCACCCUAGUUAGACCAUCGGUACGAGCCUGGCCGCUCCGACUAGAGGUCGUCUUUCUCUCUAGAAAAUAAGAUAGUUUUUGCCAAAACCCAGUAUGUACACGUGUGCGAGCACCAGCGCUUGACCCACCCUGUCUUUUUCUCUGGUUCCGUGAUAACUUGCAAAUUCUCUAGAAAUUUGCUUGUUUGUUUCCUAAUCUUAUUUUCUUAUCCUUAUCUCAUGAAACUGUGUGGUUAUGCCCUAAGGGGACCACCGGCGGAUUGUUGACCCAAAUUGUCAUUUCUGGUACCGACCAUAUUCUCUUUAGGCGGUUAUGCCCUAAUAGAAGUCAUACGUCUGGUACUAAUUGGAAGGAUCGAUGCGAUCGACUAGAGGGGGCGAACUACAAGUUUUAGGCUUAUCUUCUAAUUUUAGGGAAUUCUGGAUAAUGUAGGUUCUCUAUUUGUGCAACUAUGUGAACACAACCUGUAUGGAAAAUAAGCUCAAAGCAAAGUACGAUAGGCAACAAUCUAAUUAGCAAGCCAACAAGCAAGCAAGUGAAGGGAGAGAAAUGAUUAACCACCAAUUAGCCGACGAUGCGUAUAUUAUCUCAAAGUUCACACACUUCUGGGAGUGCUAAUCUCCAUUGGAGCAGUGCCAAAACCCAAGUCUGGAAAGCCACCAUGUGGAUCACUAUAUACUACCUUUGAGUCACCCCAAGGGAUAAGCCUCGAAUCACUCGGGGUUUGUCUCGAUGGCAACCACCACACCUUUACAAACUUCUCUAUGGCACACCAGAUGCAUGGAAACUUCUGGAGGAACCUAUACCACCUAGAUUAGUGAUGGCCCGUGCUUCCCUACACACCUUCACUCCCUUAAGCUUAUGUUCUUCCUUGGCUUUAUUCAGCAAAGCAGUCAAUCCUUCAGUAUGUAACAUAAACAAAUAAGGUGACAAUUGAUCACCUUGUCUCAAGCCUCUGGUUUGUUUAAAAGUUUCUGUUUCUUUUGAGUUAAAACGUACAUGGUAUUCCACUGUACUAAUACAUUGCAUAACCAGUUUAACCCACUCUUCAGGAAAUUCCUAUUUCAGUAGAAUACCUUCCAAAUACAGCCAUUCAACUCGGUCAUAUGCCUUAUACAUGCCCAGCUUCACUACACACCAACCAUUAUGGCCAUCUCUCAUCUCCUUUAUCACAUGAAAACUUUCAUAGAUAGUCAAUCACACUCAAUUAGCUAGAGUAUAGAAGCCCUAAGGCUCCCGCUCCUAACCCUACCCUCACUCCCGCUCCAGUGUCGUGCCGCAUCGGAGCGCCCCUUCCUCCGGUCCUCUCCAACACCAUCUCCCCUACCGCCACCGCCGGGGGCUCGCGGGCAAAGCUCGUGUGCCGCAGCGGUGGGGGCGAUGCUUGUCCUCGGCAAUAUCUGGUCAGAGGCAACGGUUGAUUGCUUGUAUCUGCGUUGGUAAUUCCCCGAAGAGGAGAGAAUGAUGCAGUACAACAAAGGUAAGUAUUUCCCUCAGUUAUGAAACCAAGGUUAUUAAUCCAAUAGGAGAACCAAGCAACACUAUGUAAACAACACCUGCACACAAACAACAAAAACUUGCAACCCAACGCGUAGAGGGGUUGUCAAUCCAUCCUCGGUAUUGAGAUAGAUAAAAUUGUAUGAGAUUUGAUAAAUAUAUCUAACUAAAACACACACAGAAAAGUGCAACACGGUAUUUUUAGAUUUAAUAUGAUAGGAAAUAGAUCCGGGGUUUGUAAAUUUCACUAGAGGCUUUUCUCAAGAAAAUAGCAUACGGUGGGUAAACAAAUUACAGUUGGGCACUUGAUAGAAAAGCGAAUAAUCACGACGAUAUCCAAGGCAAUGAUCAUGUAUAUAUGCAUCACGUCCAAGAUUAGUAGACCGACUCCUGCCUGCAUCUACUACUAUUACUCCACACAUCAACCGCUAUCCAGCAUGCAUCUAGUGUAUUAAGUUCAUGGAAAAACAGAGUAAUGCAAUAAGAACGAUGGCAUUAUGUACACAAGAUCUAUUCAUGUAGGAAUAGACCCCAUCUUGUUAUCCUUAAUAGCACGAUACAUGCGUGGCAUGUCUCUUUCUGUCACUGAGAUUGAGCACCGCAAGAUCGAACCCAUCACAAAGGACCUCUUCCCAUGAUGAGAAAAAUCAAUCUAGUUGGCCAAACCAAACCAAAGUUUCGGAGAAGAAAUACGAGGCUAUAAAAUCAUGCAUAAAAGAGUUCAGAAAAGACUCAAAUAAUAUUCAUGGAUAGAACUGAUCCUAAACCCAUAAUUUAUUGGAUCCCAACAAACACACCGCAAAAAGUCAUUACAUCAAAUAGAUCUCCAAGAACAUCGAGGAGAACAUUGUAUUGACGAUCAAAAAGAGAGAAUAAACCAUCUAGCUACUACCUACGGACUCAUAGGUAUGUGGUAAACUACUCACUCAUCAUUGAAGGGGCAACAAGGAUGAUGAAGAACCCCUCCAUGAUCGUUGCCCCCUCCGGCAGAGUACCGGAGAAGGCCUUGUGGCACCCCAGCUCAGAGCAACCGGUUUACCUUGCAUUGCCAGCCCAGAGAUCUAGUCUUCUGGCAAUACACAACAACAUGGUACAUAAACAACGACUUUAUUGAUGCUAGCGGAUUACAUAAGUCUGACAUUACAUCAAGAUACGAGGCCAAGCGACACACACGGUGCUGCUAGACAGUAUGUACAUUAUUUAAUGAACAUGACGGGGCCUCGAUCACACGAACUAUGCGGUAGCGGAAGAACGACGAAGUGGCACUCCAUAGCACAGGGACACCGACGUGGACACGGCCUAGACACAAGAUGCGCUCCGAUGCAAACCGAGUUGCCUGAAAGCUGGCAUAACACGCCAGGUCAGUACAUUGAAUGUACUUGCAAGCUCACAACAAACAUAAGCACGAUGACAAACAAUAUCAGGAUAAUUAAUCAGGUUAAUUCAAUGCAAGAAAAACUAUAGAUGCAAUGCAAACCAUGCGUGCUCCGAGUCUCACGGACUCGCUUACCAGACGGUUACAUAGUAACCAAACGAUGACCAUACCGGGGUCACACCUGAAACCAUUCACUCAUGAACACCUCAAGAGUUCAUGAUUCACUAUGAACCAAUGCAUCACAACAAUUACUUAGUUUGCAAGAUUAAUUAUAAAAGUUGAUCCAUGGUGUGACUUACUCACGAGUUAUUCCCAUAACCGAGGACGCGGAUAUCGAUAGAUUAAAUACACUCUGUAGAGGUAGCGCACUUUACCCACACUAUGGAACACCUGGCCUCGUAUUCCCAUUCGGGUGGACCAAAGCAUUCCGACGAAACCCUCCCUUUGUCAUGCACUCUCCCCGGCCACUCCGACCAACUCCCACUCAGGGCUAGGUCUUGGGUGGCCCCGUGUCUACCAAAGACACCAACGGCCACUGUCGUGCCAAAACGGUCCCAAACGGGGACAAGGUACCAGAAAAACAAAAAUGAGCACAUAAGGUUAUGUCUGCCUACCAGGCCAGGGUAUGCACACCCAUAACCUUCCCUCGCGGGAGGCACCGGUGAGAGCCACAACAAAGGACCGAAUCAAGACCUUCCCACAAGGUAAAUGUGGUCACACUGAAUUAGAAACCCAAUUCAGUGGCACCAUGAUGUGAUCAACAUCAUAUUCAAUUUGAACUUAAUCAAAUUUAACUUUGAUAAAAACUUUUUAUCAUUAACAUGAUAUAAUGCCAAUAAUCAUGCAACUACUCGUCAUGCAAAGCAAACAACUCAUAGUCAUGGAUCAAACUUAACAACAUGAUUAUCUUGCAAUACGUAAGAUCAAAACUCUCUGGUUAUAACUCAUUUUUAUUAUCAAGCAAUAUUUUUAUUAGUUCAUCAUUUAAAUAAAAAGUAUCACUUAAUAAAAGAACUUUCAUUAUUUACCACAACAACAUAGCUAGUGCAAAAUCUUAUUCUACUUGACCAAACAAGUUCAUGCAUUCAACCAGUAACUAAAACAAGUAUAUCAAGCAUACUAAAGUAACUAACAAUUAACCAAAUUUAUUUAUCAAAUUUUAAAUGCAAAUAAGAACUCAUAUUUAAGUAGAAAAUCACAGUUAUUGAAAUAACACCAUCCAAAUGCUGGUGUGGCUUGCCUUAGUGUAGAGGAGGAUCACACCCCUCUUGGUUUGCUUCAAGACAAGCUUCUCCUUCUGAAAAGAAUUUAAAACCAUAAAAAUAAUUUUCAAAACACAUUCUGAAAAUCACCAGAAAUUCUAGGCAGCAAGGAAAAAUCCACCUUUUGGUGUGCUGCUAGAGCUUUCUGAAACAAAGACAAUGCAAAAAGAAUCAAAUCAUUUGGACUUAUGGUUUAGAAAUGGUGGCUCGUCAAAGUUUAGUCAAAUUUCUGAAUAAUAUUUGAAUUAAACAGAAAUCCUGGGGGGGUGACGUCGAAGGCGUAAAACAGAAAUACGCCUCCACUCGUACCGCUUCGAGCGCGAGUGGUGAGACCGACAGGUGCGUCCCAUGUGUCGGUGGGAAACGACACCUAUGGAUCACGGGAAUCCCUUUCUGCGGUUGCGGGGCGCGGGGGUCGUGAGAAGAGCGGAUCGAGCAGGCAGUACACGAUUCCUUUACCUAGGUUCGGGCCACGAAGAUGCGUAAAACCCUACUCCUGCUUUGGUGGAUUAUAUGUUUGUGUUCUUGAGCUAGCUAUGGGGCAUGAGGAGCUCCAAAAAGCCGAAUCCUCUUCCUGGUCACCUGGGGCCUCCUUUUAUAGGGAAAGGGGCUGCCACAGUGGCACACAGGAGGUGGAAAGGGUACAGUGAUGCGAGGUUAUCCCUCGCAUUACAUGACAAGGUGCAUUUAAUGCGCCUUGCUUAGGUGUCCUUGCUUUAUCGGGGGCGGGGGAGAGCCCUGUCUCGUCCGUCGCCACUCUCUCCCGCGUCGACACGUGCCCUGGCCAGCGGUGGGUCUCCACGAGGAUCUGCAUGCCGCCACGCAGGUGCCUGCCCAGCUGGUUGGGUCGACAGCUGCAUAUGAAUGGUGGUGGAGGUGUGACUGGCGCGGGUCCGAUGGUGGCCCCGCGGGUGUCCUUGGCAAGGGCCUUGCCGGGACCCCGGCAAGGGUCUUGCCACGGCGCCUGCUGUCAUCCCCGUCAAGGCUCUUGCCGGGGGCCUUGUGGUCCUUCUUGGCUGGAAUCCCGCCAAGGGUCAUCACCUUUUUAAGUGGGCAUCUGGUCUUGAAUGUCUUCACAAAGAUCUGCACGCCACCAUGGGGAUCUCUCCCGAAUCCUUGCCCCAUGGGGGCAGUGGACUCAAGGGUGACCCGCUCCGUAGGUGUGGGGCGAGCUGCCACGGCAAGGGUCUUGCCGGGUUGGCAAAAACCGCCUCCCGGCAAGGAUCUUGCCGGGAGGGGCCCGCUUCGCCCCCUUUGCUCUUUGUGGUCUUGGUCUUGGCGUCGUUCUGCUCCUCUUUGGCUUCGGCCUCACCUUGGCUUACCUCCCUUGCCUUGCUCAGUGUGGUAGUGCCUGUGGCUCAGACUGCCCGUGCACAGUUAUAGGGGUACAAAAAGUGUACCCCUCUUUUUGUACACCGACAGGAUCCCCCAGGCCUGGGCCACACGUAAGCGCAAUCGCGUCAUUGGGCUAGGCCCAAAAACGGUGCGCGGGCAGGCGGGGCGGUUUUUACCGCGGUAAGUUUCUUUGCGCGUUGCGCUCCCCACGCGUCCCGCGCGUGGCGCGGCGUGGGGAGGCGUGUGUGACGUGAGCGGUGUGCGUGGGGCUGAGCUCCGCAUGCAUGCAUCAUGUUGUAGUAAAGGAGGCGGUUCGCGCCUUCCCCAUAAACGGAGGGAGGCGUGGAGGCGCGUUCCAUUUAUUGGACGGGGCCGAGGCGUGGUCUUCGAGGCGUCCACUCCCCACGAUCACGGGGUGGGGAGAGGUCGCCUUAUCCGUCGCCUCGGUUCUGCACGCCUGCCACACGACGCUUGGGGUGGCGAACGGUGGAGGCGGGAAACCAGGCCGUCGUGGGCCGAGGCAGCGGGUCGGUCCCAGUUCCCUGCGCCUUCUGCGUCUUGAUUGGCUGAGCGGGGCGGCCGAGCCCCCACCCCGUUCCUUUAUAAGGAGCGGGAGGGGGAGGAUGGCACCCCGCAUUCUUUCAUCUCCUCCUUCCUUCAGCGUCUGCUCCCCCUCCCAUCCGCUAUGGAGAGAGGGAACCCUGGUCCUUCAACGGUGGCGGCGAGGGUCGCCGCUCGACAACGCGUCCCUCCUUCUCCCGCACCUACGGUGGCAGAGCCAGCCGCAAGGGGAAGAGGGAGGGGGCGAGGCCGUGGGCGAGGUCGAGGGCGAGGUCGAGGCGCUCGGGGAAGAGGAGGACGGGGCGGCACGCCGGCCUCGCCUCCGCCAGUGGUUCCUCUUCCCAUGGCGGUCCAUAUUGGGGACGACCCUUGCGAGUUCUUCGUCAGGGUGCGUCGGCCGCCUCGUCGUCGCCUUCGUCUCCCGACUCCAUUCGCGCGGGAGAUGGAGCUGGAUCCGCCGGAGUCUCUGCGGCUGCACAUGAGGGGUUGCGGGAUUAGCGGCACACGGGUUCGCGUUGAUUUCCCAGCCCCUCACAUGAUGUAUCUUCGUCGAGGAUGGAAGACGUUCGCUCGCAUCCACAGCCUAACGGAGGGGCUCACUCUCCAUUUCAAGCUGAUGGAGGGUGGCCUCCUCUCCAUCAAGGUCUUCGGGCUCUUCGGGACCCGUGCAAGGUGCUGUGUGGAGAGUUCUUCCGAUAGCGAAGACUCUUCCUCGGGCGGGAGUGACGAGGAGGACAGCGGCAGCGACGACGAGGGCGGUAGGCGGCAGGAUGACGGGUCCGACUAGGUGUCGAGCGUCGCUCCGUGCGGCACCGGCGUCCCCAUCAUCCGUGUCGCCGGCUCCCUGAACUUCUCGGGGUCGUCUCCUUGGGCGGCUGGUGUUGGGAGGCUACGGAAGAGAAAGAGGGCGGGCGGCAAGGCUGUCAAGUCGGAGUACGUGGGCGUGAUGCCCUCGACAGCGUGCUGAUGUCCUACUGCCUCGUCUUCGAGCCCUGCUUCCGGCGCCGCCAUCACCAUCCAGCCUUUGGACGGCCACCGAGAUGUUCUCUUGGUGUCUUCUGGCACCCGUAGCUCGCCUAGGCGCCUCUUUUGCCCUUUUCGCCUCCUUGACCUGCCUCCUGAGGAGAGGGACAAGAAAAGGAUUACGGGCACCUUAUCUCUUUUUAGUUUGUAAGCCUUCGGGCCUUAGCUGAAUUUAAAACUUGUAAUCCCAUCAUUCAUGUUUUUCAUUCCCUACAGACUGUACCUGAAUGGAAUGUUUUUAAUGAAAAAGGGAUGUUUGCCGGGCCAUUUGUUGGCGGGUAGAACCCACGACAAGGAGUAAACCCUUGAUAUCUUUAAGAUAAACAUUUCCUCGCCCGGCAACAGGCCUUGCCGUCUCUCCACCUCACUCGACCCUUCUCACGCCCUUGGCGGAGGCAGGGAUGAGGCGGGUUCAGGCUCCUCAUUUCACCCUUUUGCUGUCGCGGCUACGCUCAAACCUGGCCCCAGGAGCGAGUCCUAGGGCCUAGAGUUAGAGGAGCAUAGUAGCUUUUAGGAAGAAACGAGGUUUCACAUACCUCAGUCCAUAAGGGAAUGCAUGACAAGGGAUGAAGAACUUAUCUAAAACUGCAGCCCCCGGCAACUCUGGUUCGCCGUGGGUGAAUCUUUGUACUUGCAGCCCCCGGCAACACUGGCUUGCCGGGGUCCAGAUGCUGGUCCGUCCCUCUUCGCCCCUUUUUUAUCCUCAAGAGAUCCGACAAGGAUAUCCGAGCCCUGCGAACCAAGGGAGACAAAAGAACGGCAAAGAGACGCACACUCGACCUCUAAGCUAGGGGUUAGCCGCCGCUAAGCACUAUCAACCCUAACCAAGGACGAGACUCGAUCUAGCAUGCAUGCUAUAACUUAGGGCGCCAGCGCUUCAUUUAUGCUCAGGGUCUGCGCCUGGCUUUGUACAAAGGGUUACAUGCAUCAUCGGCAAUGCUUGUACAAAAGGUGGCUUGCUGGGAGGCCCGACAAGCCGUGCCUUAUGGGUAAAACUUGCGAAGAUGCUCGAUGUUCCAGGAGUUGCUCACCGGAACGGCAUCUUCGGUCUCCAGGCGGACUGCACCGGGCCUGGUGACUCGUAUUACCCGAUAAGAGCCUUCCCACUUCAGCGUCAACUUGUUGGAAUUCUUGGCUGAUUGAACGCGCCGAAGAACAAGGUCACCUUCCUCAAGGCUCCGGGCAUGAACCUUGCGGCUAUGGUAGCGACGCAAGGCUUGCUGGUAGCGUGCUGCUCUCACAGCCGCCCGAAGACGAUCUUCCUCAAGGGGCAGUGCGUCGUCUUGCCGCAGUUGCUCUUGCUCAAGCUCAUCAUAAGCAAGCACUCGAGGUGACCCGUAUAUGAGUUCAGUGGGGAUAACUGCUUCUGCCCCGUAUACCAGGGCAAAGGGUGUCUGGCCGGUGGCUCGAUUUGGUGUCAUCCUGAUUGACCAAAGAACCGUCGGCAACUCAUCAAUCCAGCGCCUUCCGCUCUUGUGCAGUCUGUCAAAGGUCUUGGUCCUUAAGCCUCGCAACACUUCAGCAUUUGCCCUCUUAGCUUGCCCGUUGCUCUGCGGGUGAGCGACGGAAGCGAAUCAGACUUUGCCGCCGAGAUCCUGAGUAUAUUGCAUGAAGGUGCGGCUUGUGAACUGCGUACCGUUGCCGGUGAUGAUCCGGUUGGGUACACCGUACCGGCACACUAGCCCCUUGAAGAACUUGACGGCUGACUGAGCUGUGACCUUCCUCACUGCCUCCACUUCUGGCCACUUUGUGAACUUGUCGAUGGCUACGUACAAGUACUCAAAGCCCCCGACAGCGCGGGGGAAAGGGCCCAGUAUGUCGAGCCCCCAGACCGAGAAGGGCCAGGAGAGAGGAAUGGUUUGAAGGGCUUGAGCUGGUUGAUGAAGCUUUCUUGAAUGGAACUGACAUGCCUCACACCUGGUGACGAGUGUCGUUGCAUCCUGGAGGGCGGUGGGCCAGAAGAAACCCUGCCGGAAUGCCUUGCCGGCAAGGGCUCUCGACCCAAUGUGGGAUCCACAUAUGCCUCCAUGUAUCUCUGCGAACAGCUCCAGUCCUUCCUCUCGAGGGAUGCACUUCAAUUUCACACCGUUCGGUCUCUUCCUGUAUAGGACGUCAUCGACGAACUGGUACAUGGCAGAGCAACGGGCUACUUUUUCCGCUUCUUCCUGCUCCUCAGGAAGCUCCCCUGUCUGGAGGAAUCAGACAGUAUGUUGUGCCCACGCUGGAGCCUGAGGCUCGACGGCGAGGACUAAAGGCAGUUCCUCCGCUAUAGGGGCGACCGUCUCGACGGCAAGAGCUCGGCGUCCUACCGGAGCUAGCCGUCCCGUGGCGGGUUCAGUGUCCUCAGCAACAUCCUUGCCGGCGGCUCCGGGGAGCUCGGCGGGAAAGUACUUGCCGGGUCCUGAUUUCCUUCUCUUGUUCUGUUCUGUUGAUGGAUCAACAGAUGGCUGAGUUAGCUGAAGCACAAAGGUACCUGGUUCCACAGGUAGCUUGAGGGCAACGCGCUUCGACAGGUAAUCGGCGAUAUCGUUCUCCGUUCGGGGAACGUAUUUAGCCUGGAUACCGUCGAAACGCUCUUCCAGCUUUCUCACUUCAUCGACGUAGGCCUUCAUCAACGGGCUCUGGUAAUCCUUAUUGACUUGCUUGACGACAAGCUACGAGUCGCCCCUGACGAUGAGCUUUUUGAUUCCAAGGUACAUCGCGAUCCUAAGACCGGCAAGCAGCCCUUUGUAUUCCGCCGUGUUGUUUGUUGACGCCUCCCUGGGGAAGUGCAUCUGGAUCACGUACUUGAGGUGCUCUUCAGUGGGGGCGACGAGCAGUAUGCCAGCCCCGGCACCCUGGAGGGAGAAAGCCCCAUCAAAGUACAUAAUCCAAUCGCAACUUGCCUCCUUGCCGGGGAGAGAAGUCUCUUGGGCUUCUUCGUCAGGUGUGGCGGUCCAUUCUGCAAUGAACUCUGCCAGGACUCGGCUCUGGAUCGUCGAAGUACUUUCAAACUUGAGGCCAAAGCUGGACAGCUCCAGUGCCCAUUCCACAAUCCUCCCCAUCGCAUCUGGGUUGUGCAAUAUCCGCUGCAGAGGGAGGCGAGUGACGAUAGUGAUCUCGUGUGCCUGGAAGUAGUGACGCAGCUUCCUCGAGGCCAUGAGGAGGCCGAAGAGCAGUUUCUGCACACCGGAGUACCUCGACCUAGCCCCCUGCAAGAGGGAGCUAACAAAGUAGACCGGGCGCUGCAUCACUUUCUUCUUUGGCGGCACCUCGACCAACUGUGUCACCUCCGCACUGGUGGCGUCGGGCUCUGUUGCUGCCAUUACCUCGUCGUCGACCUCCCUCUGCGCCACUAGUGCAGCGCUGACCACCUGGUUCAUUGCCGCUAAGUAGCAGCAACGGCUCCUGGGGCCUGGGCGCAACUAGUAUUGGUGCGGAGGAGAGGUACUUCUUCAGAUCUUGCAAUGCCGCUUCGGCUUCCGGUGUCCACUCCAUCGGGCCCACCUUUUUCAGGAUCUUGAAAAAGGGAAGGGCGCGCUCGACGGACUUGGAUAUGAACCUGCCCAGGGCCGCGACGCAACCAACGAGCCGGCGCACAUCCUUCAUCCACUUGGGUGCUUCAAUCUGUUCUAUAGCUUUGAUCUUGUCCGGGUUGGCCUCUAUCCCCCGCUGCGACACAAAGAACCCGAGAAGUUUGCCGGAUGGGACACCAAAGACGCACUUCUCAGGGUUCAGCUUGAGGUUGAUCUUGCGCAGAUUUGCAAAUGUCUCCCGCAAGUCUGAUAUGAGGGUGGCCCUGUCCUUGGUUUUGACCACUAUGUCAUCCAUAUAAGCCUCCAUAUUUCUAUGGAGCUGGGGCUCAAAACCAAUCUGGACCGCCCUCGCAAACGUCGAUCCAGCACUCUUCAACCCGAAAGGCAUCCGCAUGAAACAAUACGUACCACAUGGGGUGAUGAAUGCUGUUUUCUCUUCGUCUUCUUUUGUCAUGAAGAUCUGGUGGUACCCGGAGUAGGCAUCGAGGAAUGACAACAGAUCACACCCAGCCGUGGAGUCAACAAUCUGGUCGAUGCGCGGCAACGGGAAGGGGUCUUUAGGACAAGCCUUAUUGAUAUCUGUGUAAUCAAUACACAGUCUCCACUUCCCAUUUGCCUUGCGCACUACGACCGGAUUGGCCAACCACGUCGAAUGGAGCACUCCUCUUACCAAACCCGCUGCCUCCAGUUUCCGGAUUUCUUCUAUGAUAAACUCUUGUCGUUCCAAAGCUUGCUUUCUGACCUUCUGCUUGACGGGCCGCACAUGAGGACAGACAGCAAGGUGGUGCUCAAUCACCUCCCUGGGAACGCCGGGGAUGUCGGAAGCUUGCCAUGCAAACACAUCGACAUUUGCCCGCAGGAAGGUGAUGAGCGCGUCUUCCUAUUUGUCGUCAAGGGUGGAGCUUAUGGUGAAAGCUCCUCCCGUGCCGUCCUCGUUGACGGAAACCUUCUUGGUUCCCGGCGGCGUGGCCCUGGACCUCUUGCUUCCGCCGGCGGAGCUCUUUGGCACGUCCUCGACGGCAGCGCUACACUCCAAAGAGGUGCGCUUGCCGGAGUGGGUGUCCGAGGUCUCACCGGCCUUCUUCUUCUCCCCCCCCGGGGUCCCGGCAGCAGGAGCGAGUGCCCCAGCGGCGGCAGCUGCUGCGACUGCUUGCUGGUACACUUGAUCAGCGCAAAUCAGCGCAUCCUUCUUGUCGGAGGGGAUGGUGAUGACCGUCACGGGCCCUGGCAUCUUCAGGGUAUUGUAGGCGUAGUGCGACACCGCCAUGAACUUGGCCAGCGCUGGGCGGCCAAGGAUCCCGUUGUAGGGCAAGGGGAUACUGGCAACAUCAAACACAAUCCUCUCCGUCCUGAAGUUCAGGUCGGUCCCGAAAGUUACGGGCAACGUGACCUUUCCCUUGGGUUGGCUUCUCCCCGAGCUAACCCCUUGAAACGUGUCCAUUUCUUCGAGGUCUCCAUCAGGGAUCUGCAGCUUCUCGACCAUGGCAGGCGAGAUCAAGUUCAGACCGGCCCCGCCAUCUACUAACAUUUUUGUCACCUUGAGGUUGCGUAUUGUUGGUGACACCAACAAUGGCAAGCAACCGACCGCAGUAGUGCGAUCAGGGUGAUCCUCAGAGUAAAAAAUGAUAGGUGUGCUGGACCACUUCAGCGGCCUCUGGGCAUCAAAUGACGGCUCUGCUGCUGUAAUUUCUCGCGCCCACUGUUUAAGCCAGCGCCGAGAGGCAUGCAGCGAAGCGCCGCCGUCAACGCACAUGGCCUCUGUAGCUUUCUGAAACUCUUGGUCGCCGGACUCGUCGUCCUCUUCGUGAUUGUCAUCUCCUGGCUUUUUGUCACGGCCCCGAGCGGGCCUCUCUUGUUGCUUGUCCUUGCCGCGACGGCCCGCCUGGCCGUCGCGUUUCUUGCCGGAUCCUUCAGCACCGUCUUGGCCCUUCUCCUUGUCCCGCCUCUCAUAUUCAGCCCUCUGCUUCUCAGCGAGGAGCUCAACCUGCCGGCAGUCUUGGAGAGCAUGGCCUUUGGUGCGAUGGAUCUUGCAGUAUCGCUUGUCGGAGUUGCCUGGCUUCUCGGCAACCGCCAAGGCCUGGCAGGCGACACAUCCGGCAAUUUCCUUGCCGGGGUCACCUGCCUUGGUCUUCUUGGUGGAGCCGGUGUCGUCAGACCCCUUGAUAGCAAGCACAGCUUUCCCUUUGCGCUUCCUGUUGCGGCGCCGGCCUUUCUUCGCCGGGGCGGCGGUGUCUUCUUCCGAGGAGUCGGUUUCCACGCCGGCAUCUUCGCCGGGGUACUUCCUCCCCUCUUCAGCCCGGGCACAUUUGUCCGCGAGAACAUAGAGCUCCGCGAGAUCUUUCACCUUGUUCAUCACCAGCUCUUCGCGCAUCUUGCGGUUCCGAAUGUUCUGAUGGAACGCGUUGAUGAUGGCGGCGGGGUGAACAUCCGGAAUAUUGUACUGCACCCGGCUGAACCUCUGUAUGUACUUGCGGAGACUCUCGCCUCCCUUCUGGGGAAUGACGUGGAGAUCACUCGCUUGGCCAUGAGCUUGGUGACCGCCAGUGAAGGCGCCCACGAAUUCAUGGCACAAAUCCGACCAGGAGGAGAUGGAGUCCACCGGCAAGUGCAUCAACCACGACAUGGCGUUGGGUUUAAGAGCCAACGGGAAGUAAUUUGCAAGCACCUUAUCAUCACGAGCCCCGGCAGCCUGCAUCGCGAUGGUGUAGAUGCUGAGGAACUCGGAUGGGUGGGUCUUGCCGCCGUACUUCUCGCCCACGUUAGGUUUGAAAGUGCGGUGAGUGGGCCACUGGAACUGCCGCAGCUCACGGGUAAAAGCCGGGCAGCCUACCUCGUAAGGUAGGCCCCCAGGGCUCUCCGGUGCUGGGUGGUCCACAGUAGGCCCCGCUCGCCUAUCUGACUGGUGGCGCGCUCCGCGCCGGCGCUCCGCGCCGGCGCUCGAUGGUGGUCCGAGCGUCUUCAUGUUCCUGAUCCCGAAGGACCUGGCGUUGGUCCUGGUGGGUCCGCGGGUCGGACGAUGCUAUGGAGAUUUCGUCGCCCGCAACGUCGCGACGGGCAGGCGUCCGUGGCACCAGGCGAGGAGGAGGCGAGUGCACCAUGGUCGCGGUGCCACCAGCCUUCCUGCCACUGGUACGCGGGACUCCGUCAGAACGUCGACCCAGGGGCUCCGUCAGGGUCGGCUCAUCUUUGUUGGCCACCGCAACAAGGCUUCGGAUGGUGGCUCUCCAUUCGUCGAGUUUCCCUGUAGUGGGAGGAAAGUCGAGGAGCAACUGCGCGCGCGCCAGGGCUUCUGCUGGCGUCGGUGGCAGCGAAACCUGCACGGAUCGCGACGCGCUUCGACUUCUGACCAUGUCAGAAGGAGCGCUACCACGACCGCGCGGUCGCACGCCAUGCUCACCAGCGCCUCAGCGAGCGGGCAGGUCUUCUACAUCCCGGGAGUGGCGCUCGGGGCUUUUCCCGCGGCGAUGCCCGGGGUCUUCGGGGUGAUCACGCCACUCGUCGCGCGCCGCUUGAGAGGAACACGCCGUCGGCGCCGGAGAGGGAGUCCUGGAGGCCCUCGCGCCGCCAGCGGGCGGGGCAGCAGCGACCCCGGAAGGUCCCGCGCCACCUGCGGGGGGCCCGGCUCCGUCUUUGGAUUUGGCGGCGUGCGGCCCGUUACCGGGCGCAUGAACACCGCCGCCUCCCAAACUCCGGCUGCUGGGACGGUGUUGGUGUUCACGAACAGCGGCCCGGGUCCUUUCGGCGACCGGUCCGCUGCUCGCCCACGUCGGGACGGGAUGCCCGGCAUCCGACGGGCCAACCGCCACCGUCGUCUUCUUCUUGGGCGCCAUGGCGAUGAAGAAGCGUUGAACUAACUGCUAAAGCCGAUUCUCACAUCUGCGCAGCCCCUGCCUGGCGCGCCAAAGAUGUCGGUGGGAAACGACACCUAUGGGAUCACGGGAAUCUCUUUCUGCGGUUACGGGGCGCGGGGGUCGUGAGAAGAGCGGAUCGAGCAGGCAGUACACGAUUCCUUUACCCAGGUUCGGGCCGCGAAGAUGCGUAAAACCCUACUCCUGCUUUGGUGGAUUAUAUGUUUGUGUUCUUGAGCUAGCUAUGGGGCGUGAGGAGCUCCAAAAAGCCGAAUCCUCUUCCUGGUCGCCUGGGGCCUCCUUUUAUAGGGAAAGGGGCUGCCACAGUGGCACACAGGAGGUGGAAAGGGUACAGUGAUGCGAGGUUAUCCCUCGCAUUACAUGACAAGGUGCAUUUAAUGCGCCUUGCUUAGGUGUCGUUGCUUUAUCGGGGGCGGGGGAGAGCCCUGUCUCGUCCGUCGCCGCUCUCUCCCGCGUCGACACGCGCCCUGGCCAGCGGUGGGUCUCCACGAGGAUCUGCAUGCCGCCACGCAGGUGCCUGCCCAGCUGGUUGGGUCGGCAGCUGCAUGCGAACGGUGGUGGAGGUGUGACUGGUGCGGGUCCGAUGGUGGCCCCGCGGGUGUCCUUGGCAAGGGCCUUGCCGGGACCCCGGCAAGGGUCUUGCCGCGGCGCCUGCUGUCAUCCCCGGCAAGGCUCUUGCCGGGGGCCUUGUGGUCCUUCUUGGCUGGAAUCCCGCCAAGGGUCAUCACUGGCAUCUGGUCUUGAAUGUCUUCACAAAGAUCUGCACGCCACCAUGGGGAUCUCUCCCGAAUCCUUGCCCCAUGGGGGCAAUGGACUCAAGGGUGACCCGCUCCGUAGGUGUGGGGCGAGCUGCCACGGCAAGGGUCUUGCCGGGUUGGCAAAAACCGCCUCCCGACAAGGAUCUUGCCAGGAGGGGCCCGCUUCGCCCCCUUUGCUCUUUGUGGUCUUGGUCUUGGCGUCGUUCUACUCCUCUUUGGCUUCAGCCUCACCUUGGCUUACCUCCCUUGCCUUGCUCAGUGUGGUAGUGCAUGUGGCUCAGACUGCCCGUGCAUAGUUAUAGGGGUACAAAAAGUGUAGCCCUCUUUUUGUACACCGACAGGAGCCCCCGGGCAAAGGCCACACGUAAGCGCAAUCGCGUCGUUGGGCUAGGCCCAAAAACGGUGUGCGGGCAGGCAGGGCGGUUUUUACCGCGGUAAGUUGCUUGAGCUCGAGAGGCACUGGAGAGCGGCUGCUGGACUACGGAGAUCGCUAGAGUCCUCUGGUCGGGGCGAUAGCCAGAGGCCUGCCCGACCGAGCUACUGCUCGUCUACGUGUUCGUGGAGGUGGUGUGGAUUGGUGCUUGGCUAGAAAUCGAGGAGGGGCGCGCUAUAUAUAGCCGGAGCGAGGGGGGGACGUGUCGCCGCCAGAGCUCUCUGGACACGCGGCGAAUGACAACGAGAAGCUCCAAAACAAGGGGGCAAACACUCAGCAUCAAUGCAGGAGCUUGCCCAUGCUCGCGGACGAGCACAGGAGGCGGUUGAGGAAGUGGACAAGCGCACGCGUGCAUUGUGGCAUUUUGGCUGUGACGUGCCCGUGCUUGCUGCGGCGGCUCCAGCGUCGGCGAGUGCCAGGGAGCGGUCAAAUGUGAUGGGUCGGGGCUCGUGGCAUGGCGCGACAGUCGUCGGCAAGCGCUGGAACGAGCACGCGCGAAACAGAGAGGAACGCGCCACCCAGAGCGCGUCGAGACGCUGCCAGGCGCCGUGUCCUCGCGUGGUCACCAAGCUGGCAUGGUCAAAACGACGCCCAGGAGCGGCCAAACCUUGUCUACGCAUUCGACCGUGCAGUGUUUAGUCUAGGAGUGGUGAUAGCUCAUACCCAGGCCGACCAGAUUGGACUCAACUCAGCUGACAAGUUUCUGACCAGAAACUUGGUCGCCAAGUUAAGCCACCUUCUAGAAGGCCAUUAGGGCUGAUCUCCUGGGGUUUAGGGUUUCUUAGGAGGGUGUUUAAGCUCAAGAAAGAUCAAGGCCAAAAUCUCAAGGAAAAAUGCACUUGCUGUACAAAGUGCAUUUUUGGUCCAGAAGUGAAAAGAUUUUCUACAGCAAAAAUAUUACAAAAAGUGAUGCAAUAUUUUUGCAUGGGAAGGUGUGCCAAGGUUCUAAGAAUAUUCAAGAAUUAAAUCAGAUUUUUCUGAGCAAGAAAAAUUGGGGUUGCUUUGGAGCACAAGUUUCUGAGUGAAAAAUGAAUAUUUUUCUUUUAUGAAAAUAUUCAUUUGAUUAUUUUGGGGAUUUAUGAGAGGAUUAAAUUAGUAGGUCACUUGGGUGAAAGCCAAGGAUAUGCCCAAGUGACAAGUCCAUUUGAAAUGAUUCCAAAAUCCAAAUCAAGUGAGGGAAAAAACCACGGUAAAAACCAAGUCCGAAAGAAGAGAGAAGACAAGUCCGGAAAAAGAGAGAAGGCAAAAUCCAGGCUGUCACAUGCCUCUAGAUAGGAUCUAGUGGUUCUGGAACUUGCGGCGGCUGGAAAAGUGUUUCAUCGACUCCCCUAGGGUUUUUGGGAUUUUAGAGUAUUUAUAGAGGUGGAUGUCAGUAGAGAAGCUUCCCAUGGGCUCCACUACCCACCAGGGCACGCCCUGGUGCCUAGUGGGCCCCACAAGCCUCCUCCCGUGCACUUCUUUGGCUCCCUAGGUGUCUUCUGUCCAGAAAAAAUUCUCCGAAAAGUUUCAUGGCAUUUAGACUUUGUUUGGUAUUGAUAUUCUUCAAAGUAAAAACAAGCAGAAAACAACAACUCGCACUAGGCACUAUGUCAAUAGGUUAGUCCAAAAAAAAUGAUAUAGAGUUGCUAGUAAAUGAGUAUAAAACAUCCAAGAUUGAUAAUAUAAUAGCAUGAAACAAUAAAAAAUUGUAGGUACGUUGGAGACGCAUCAGCGGUCCACGCCGGCCGGACAUAUGUCAAUGGCGCAGGGCAGCGGCGGCCAGUUUCUGCAUGCAGGCGGCGGCAUACGGUGACGUGUCCAGCACCGGUGGCUUGGGUGCCCGAUCUGAUCUCAGAUGGGUUUCGGCAGGCCGCACAAGCUGUUGUCGUGUACCAUCCCUGUUCCAUCAACGACAUGCUGCCACUGGGCUCUACUUGCAACACGAGGACGUUGGGGGCUCCAGCCCUGGGCGUGGCGGUGGUGGCCACCUCAUUCGCCGAAGUUGGUUGGCCUGAGGCUGGGUGGUCGAAUCUCAAGAUCGGUCAUCUAGUCCCGGCUGCGAGUUGGGGAGACAUAGUUGCCGAUGAAAACCGAGUUGAUGGCGGCGUUUUGCUUCGUUACCUUGUUGAAGGCAUCAUCGUGUAGCUGUUGUCGACCCACUCGUGCUGCUUCAUGGAAAACCCUAAGAUUUGGUCUUCUAGAUCGGACGAUGGCGGUACUGCGGUGCCGUUACUCUCUUGGGAGCAUCAUUUGUGGAGCAGCGCUAGAAGACAGAGGCAAGAGGUGGAGCGGCUUCGUCUUGCACGGAGCUUCGGUGGAGCUGUCAAAUCAUGCCUGACCGACAGGUGCUACGCUGAGUCAUGCCUGGUUGGUAGGUGCUACGCACAAAAAAUCUUCCAGAGUCUUCACGUCUGGACGGACGAGCGUAGGGCGGUGGCACCUUGGGUGUAAGUGCAUCCAGUGCCCCUUAGUGAUUUUGGUGUAUUGAAGACUUAUAGGUUAAGGGACUAAUGUGUUUGUGAGUGCACACAGGUCUAUAAGUCUAUGAGGAGUUUGAUAUUUACAGAGAAAGUCGACCCCUAAAAAUGAAUGUCUUGAACUGAAGACUUUGGCUUUCUGAAGACUUUGAAAGUGAAGAAAUUGGUGUGACCGUGAAGACUUAAUAUUCAUGCGAGGAAUAUGAAGUGUGAAGACUUUUGUUUUCGUAGUUUCGUUUUCUCUUUCGUGAGUCAUAGGAAACACCGUACUGUUAAAGGGUGUCGAGGUAAAACUAAGGAAAAGUUCCCAAGUGAUGCUCAUCUCAAAAUCCUACACCUACCAAUCCUUUCGAGUGAAGCCAUUGGAAAUCUCAUGCAAUUCAGUCAAGUUCUUCAGUGACAGAGAUGAAGAUCUUUUGAUCUCUGAGGAGUUUGUUCUCACUGAGGAGUUAGGAAUUCGCCAGUGCAGAUUGCCUACAAGUGAGGAACAUGAUAGCCCUGAGGAAUUUGAUACUCAAACAUCCGACCGUUGCUGUGCUACGCGCCACCUGUCCCAAAAUAUCUACCCUCCUAACAGUCAUAUCAUGGAAGGGCAUUUAUGUCUUAUCAUGUCGGGCUGCUCCCUAGGCUAUAAAUAGCCGCCCCCUACAACCACUAGCUGGUUGGUUGCUCUGAGAGAAACUGACACUUGUCAUUGAGAGCAUCCCAUCCUCCAAGGACUGUGAGCGAAAAUCAUGAAGUGAGGAAAACCCAAACUCAAACACCUACAAACCCAAAGUGAUUGAGCAUCACUGAAGAGAUUGUUCCUGUGUGGAACCGACACUUGUUACCUUUGAGGACUGUGCAUCCUUCAGACGGUUAGGCAUCAUGGUCUAGAGCAUCCAAAAGGAAAUUGUGGAUCGCCGAGUGACUGAGUUUGUGAAGGUUUGGAAUCACCUGAAGACUUACCACAAAUGAUUGGGCGAGGUCUGUGUGACCUUAGCUCGAGGAGAAUACGGUGAGGACUAUGUGUCGAGGACUGUGUGUCCUCAGGUUUAAAUACCUAGCCGCUCCAACCAGACGUACGACUGCCACAGCAGUUGGAACUGGUCUACCAAAUCACUGUCUUCACCGAGCUACUGGUUCUAUUUCCUCAACCCUUUCAUUUCCUCAUUACUGUGUUGUUGUACUUGAUCGUUUCUGUUCGAAGACUUUGACUGAAGACUUUCUCAAUUUCCUCAGUCCUAAUUCUUAAGUCACCUUGUCUUCAGCCUACUUAUCCUAUGUUUACGCUACUUGUACUUUGUGCUUGUUUUCAUUUCAUCAUGAUGAUUGUGCUACUAUUCUGUUAUGCUUGCAUCUGAAUACUUAUUUCGCUACUUGUAGUUCAUGACUUAAGAAUUUCUUCACCUUGAAAUUCCUUAGUGACGAAUUUGUAAAAAUCGCCUAUUCACCCCCCCUCAAGUCAAUAUAACGCACUUUCAAUUGGUAUCAGAGCAAGGUACUCCCUUGUUCUAUGUGAUUUUGGUUUAACCGCCUGGAGUUUUAGUUAUGUUGACCACAGGAAUGAAGAGUGUGUCAUGCCCCAUCUUUGACGGUCAUGAUUAUCCCAAGUGGAAGGCCAUGAUGAAGAAGCGCCUCAUGGCGAUGAACAGCGAAUUGUGGACCGUCACUGAGAUUGGUCUUACCAAUCUAUGCAAGAUGACGGAGGCUGAUGAUAUUCGCAAGUACACCCUACUUAACCUCACGGCGAAGGACAUAAUCUGCUCCUGUCUGUCCCAAAAUCAGUUCAGGAACAUUAUGCAUCUCAGUCAUGCGAAGCUUAUCUGGGACCGACUCUUUGAGGUCUAUGAAGGUCAUCAAACUCGUCAUGAUCCCUGGUUUGAGGAUUUCAAGGAAUUGCUCAAGGCGAUGACUUUCGAUCCGGAAUCAUCAUCCUCUGCACCAUGCCUUAUGGCAAAAGGUGCCAAGGUAACUGAAUGCUACCUAUCUGAGUCCAGUGAUGAUGAAUCUGGUGAUGAAUUUUGACCCAGCUAUACCAAACUUACCUCCCUUGCCACUAAACAACAAAGAGCUUUGGAAAAGGUUCAAAAUAUGCUAGAGAAAAGCGAUGACCUGUUGGGUGAAGAAAUGGAUCACACUCAAACCUUGACUGAUAAUCUUCAAAGACUUCAGUACAAGUUUGAUAACCUUCAGAGUCAUCAUAACACUCUCUUAUCUGAUCAUGAGAAGCUUUCUUAUGAAUUUCUUCAAAGAAAGCAAGAUAUUGAGAAGCUAAGGGAGAGUUAUGAAGAUCUUCAGAAGGAACAUGAUUCAUUGCUUGCUCAACAGAGCAGUGCCUCUCAGGAAAAAUUCAUUCCACCAUGUUUGAAAUGCAUUGAACGUGAAUCUGCUAAUUCUUCACCUGAAAGUUCAAAUGCUUCUAUUGCUGCAAAUUCUUCAACUAUCUCUGCUAUCACAAACUCAUCUCGGGAUGCUACUAGUAUCACUAACAAUGCAGGGCUGAAGGAAUUGUAUGUAACAGGCAUGUACAAAAGCCUCAAAGGGCAUCAAGCUCUUUGUGAUGUGCUUAAAAAGCAGAUCCUCAACAGGAACCCUAGGAAAGAGGAUAUUGCCUUUGAAAGGAAACUCAAUGCUGAUGAGACCUACUAGAAACCUGAGCAGUAUCCCAAAACCUCAUGGGUUGCUGCAAAGGGACCUCCCGUAGAUCUAUCUACUUUAUCUGGCUUUACAUGUGAAUCUUCAUAUUCUUCUGAUGAGUCAUUUGACUGCAACUAUAAACUAUUCAAAAAUCAGAAUGGUGAAGUCUUUGCUAGAUAUGUUAGCACUAACUGCAGGAACGGUCCCCCUAUGAAGAAAAUCUGGGUUCCCAAAAGAUGCCUUGAAAAUCUUCAGGUGAAUGUCAUCAUGACACCGCCUGUGAAGAAUAGGAACCCCAGAUCAAAUUCUUCAUAUGGACCAAAGUCUUCAUAUGGAUCAAAGUCCUCAUAUGGACCAAAUUCCUCACGUGGAUUAAAUUCCUCAUAUGGAUCAAAGUCCUCAUACGAACAUCAUCGUGCUAACACUUCUGUUUCGCAGGGAAAGACUAAGGGCUAUGAAUAUGUGCAUUAUUCUUCAAAUCAUUAUGUUCAUAAGUCCUCGAAGAAUUUCUCUGCUUAUUCAUAUGUGUAACGCCCCGAGACCGAUGUGCCAGGUGUCAUUCUGUUAUUCGCUAUUGUUGCGUUGUCAUUGCUUGCGUGUCAUGCAUUGCAUAUCAUGUCAUCAUGUGCAUUUCAUUUGCAUACGUGUUCAUCUCAUGCAUUCGAGCAUUUUCCCCGUUGUCCGUUUUGCAUUCCGGCGUUCCGUUUUCCUCCGGUGGUCAUUUCUACCUUUCUUUCUUGUGUGGGGAUUAAACAUUUCUGGAUUGGACCGAGACUUGCCAAGCGGCCUUGGUUUACUACCGGUAGACCGCCUGUCAAGUUUCGUAUCAUUUGGACUUCAUUUGAUACUCCAACGGUUAACCGAGGGACCGAGAAGGCCUCGUGUGUGUUGCAGCCCAACACCCUUCCAAAGUGGCCCAAAACCCACCUAACUCUGCUCCAUCAUCUCGGUCGUUCGAUCACGAUCGCGUGGCCGCAAAACGCACCUCAUUUGGACUCUCCUAGCUCCCUCUAUGCCUAUAUAUACACACCCCUCCGAAAUUCGCGGUUCAUUCUUCCCCUAACCCUAGAUCCAACUCCCUCCGCGCCGCCGGACGUUUCUUCCCGCGCCGGACACGUCCACCCAGCCCCGCCACCGCCACGUGUCUUUGUCUGGUUCGCCGAUGCUCGGUGCCCACUUCGCCGCGCCGCCGGGCCUGGAGUGCCCGCAACCGGCCCCCGCGGCCCAUCCAACGCCGCCGCCCAAGCCCACGGGGAGACCGGAUCCGCGCCGCCCGGUCCUCCCUUGCGCCGCCGCAUGCCGUCUCGACGCCGGCCGCCCGCUGACGCCGCUCGCCGCCUUCUCCAUCCUCCCGGCCUCUCUCUCCCGCAGGUGCUCGCCGGCGACGAGGCGUCAAGCUCGUCGUCCCGAGCCGCUCCCGCCUUUUCCGCACAGGAUCCGAUGAGCCACCGACCGGAUCUAUCCAUCCCCGGCGCUCCCCGUCGCUCUCCGACCGUCGUCGUGCCCUCCCCCCUCGCCGGGAACCCGGUGCGCCGUCGCCGCCAUGGAUCGGGAACCAGUUCCCCGCUCGAAGACGUUGACCCUCCGCGUGGGCCGGUCCACCUUCCCGGCCAGCGCAGCGCCGAGUCCAGGCCCAGCUCCCCUUCGUCCGACCCAGUGCAGCGCCAUUGCCUCUGGGCCUCCUCUCGCGGAUGUGGGCCGCCGUGCGAGAUCCGGCCCAGCCCCGAUGCCCCAAGCCGGCCUGUCUCUCCCUCCGACCGGGCCAUGACCCAGGGUGAGCCGCCCCAGCGCCCCCCUCCUCUUGUUAAUUUUUUUCCCUGCUGCUGGGCUAAGCCAGAUUCGGCCCGUGAUGUUUUUUUCAGCGUCUGGACGAUUUGUCUAUUAUCCAGAGAUUGCAGUUUUGCAGUUUAGUCCCUCAUGUCCAUGCAUUUAAUAACUCACAAACCGUGCAUCGGAUUAAAAUGUUUUAUAUAUGAAACUUGCUCAGAAUUUUGUGUAGAUUAAUAAUAUCCAACUUUCAUCUAUGUUUGAAAUGUUUAAAAUUUUGUUUGCAUUAAUUUGCUCCUAUGCCAUGCUAAAAUGAUUUUAUUCAUAACUAAAUAACCGUAGCUCCGAUUUAAAUAAUCUUUAUAUGUAAAUGGGGUAGAAUUUUGCCUAGUUUAACAUGGCGCACUCAUCUUGCAUGUUAAACAACUCUAAAAUGUGGCUUAGGGCAGAACAGUACCAAACCUUAAAUUAUGCACAUGAGGAUUUUUCGGACUUGUUGUUCGUUGCUUCCGGCCUCAUUUAAACUUGCCUAGAUAGGUAGUUUUGUUGUGCUUCACCUCUUGCCAUGUUAAUCAACAUUUAAUAUUGUUGGGUACAUAAACGAGAGUGAACUAAAUAAUUGAUGAGCUCCACUUAAUUUGUAGGAUUGCUUGUGCACUUUGCCAUGCCAUGCAUACUUAAACCGGACAUGCAUCAUACUCGAUUGUGCAUCAUGUCAUGUUGAUGCGUUGGUUAUUUACUAUGUUGUGUGCUUCUUUUCCGGUGUUUUCUUCUUCGGGUUGGUUCCGGUAACGUCGAGCUUGUGAGGAUCCGUUCAACUUCGUCCGUUUGUCUUCUUCAUGGACUCGUUCUUCUUCCUUGCGGGAUUUCAGGCAAGAUGAUCAUACCCUCAAAAUCACUUCUAUCUUUGCUUGCUAGAUGCUCGCUCUUUUGCUAUGCCAAUGCUACGAUGCCUACCAUUUGCUUGUCAGCCUCCCAAUUGCCAUGUCAAACCUCUAACCCACCGUGUCCUAGCAAACCGUUGAUUGGCUAUGUUACCGCUUUGCUCAGCCCCUCUUAUAGCGUUGUUAGUUGCAGGUGAAGAUUGAAGUUUGUUCCUUGUUGGAACAUGGAGAUGUCGUUCCUUGUUGGAACAUUUGCUUACUUGUUGGGAUAUCACAAUAUAUCUUAUUUAAUUAAUGCAUCUAUAUACUUGGUAAAGGGUGGAAGGCUCGGCCUUAUGCCUGGUGUUUUGUUCCACUCUUGCCGCCCUAGUUUCCGUGAUAUCGGUGUUAUGUUCCCGGAUUUUGCGUCCCUUACGCGGUUGGGCUAUAAUGGGAACCCCUUGACAGUUCGCCUUAAGUAAAGCUUUUCCAGCAAUGCCCAACAUUGGUUAUACCAUUUGCCACCUAGCCUUUUUCCCUUGGGAGUAGCGCAUACCGAGGGUCAUCUUUAUUUUAACCCCCCGGGCCAGUGCUUGUCUAAGAGUUGGUCCGAACUAGAGUCCUUUGCAGCGCCACCUCGGGGAAACUUGAGGGCUGGUUUUAGAUGUACGGAGCGCUCAUCCGGUGUUGCCCUGAGAACGAGAUAUGUGCAGCUCCUAUCAGGAUGUCGGCGCAUCGGGCGGUGUUGCUGGUUUAGUUUUACCCUGUCGAAAUGUCUUGUUGUACCGGGAUACCGAGUCUGAUCGGAACGUCUUGGGUGGAGGUCUAUUCCUUCAUUGACCGUGAGAGCUUGUGAUGGGCUAAGUUGGGACACCCUGUAGGGAUUUGAACUUUCGAAAGCCGUGCCCGCGGUUAUGGGCAGAUGGGAAUUUGUUAACGUCCGGUUGUAGAAAACCUAAAGUUGACCUUAAUUAAAACGAAUCAACUGUUGGAAAUAUGCCCUAGAGGCAAUAAUAAAUAAGUUAUUAUUAUAUUUCCUUGUUCAUGAUAAUCGUUUAUUAUCCAUGCUAUAAUUGUAUUGAUAGGAAACUCAGAUACAUGUGUGGAUACAUAGACAACACCAUGUCCCUAGUAAGCCUCUAGUUGACUAGCUCGUUGAUCAAUAGAUGGUUACGGUUUCCUGACCAUGGACAUUGGAUGUCGUUGAUAACGGGAUCACAUCAUUGGGAGAAUGAUGUGAUGGACAAGACCCAAUCCUAAGCAUAGCACUAGAUCGUGUAGUUCGUAUGCUAAAGCUUUGCUAAUGUCAAGUAUCAUUUCCUUAGACCAUGAGAUUGUGCAACUCCCGGAUACCGUAGGAAUGCUUUGGGUGUACCAAACGUCACAACGUAACUGGGUGACUAUAAAGGUGCACUACAGGUAUCUCCGAAAGUGUCUGUUGGGUUGGCACGAAUCGAGACUGGGAUUUGUCACUCCAUGUGACGGAGAGGUUUCUCUGGGCCCACUCGGUAGGACAUCAUCAUAAUGUGCACAAUGUGAUCAAGAAGUUGAUCACGGGAUGAUGUGUUACGGAACGAGUAAAGAGACUUGCCGGUAACGAGAUUGAACAAGGUAUCGGGAUACCGACGAUCGAAUCUCGGGCAAGUAUCGUACCGAUAGACAAAGGGAAUUGUAUACGGGAUUGAUUAAGUCCUUGACAUCGUGGUUCAUCCGAUGAGAUUAUCGUGGAACAUGUGGGAGCCAACAUGGGUAUCCAGAUCCCGCUGUUGGUUAUUGACUGGAGAACGUCUCGGUCAUGUCUGCAUGUCUCCCGAACCCGUAGGGUCUACACACUUAAGGUUCGAUGACGCUAGGGUUAUAAAGGAAGUUAGUAUGUGGUUACCAAAUAUUGUUCGGAGUACCGGAUGAGAUCCCGGACGUCACGAGGAGUUCCGGAAUGGUCCGGAGGUAAAGAUUUAUAUAUGGGAAGUCCUGUUUUGGUCACCGGAAAAGUUUCGGGGUUUAUCGGUAACGUACCGGGACCACCGGGAGGGUCCCGGGGGUCCACCAAGUGGGGCCACCUGCCCCGGAGGCUUGCAUGGGCUAAGAGUGGUGAGGGACCAGCCCCUUAGUGGGCUGGUGCACCUCCCACAAGGGCCCAAGGUGCCCAAGAGGUGGAAAGGGGGCAAACCCUAAUGGGAUAUGGGCCUUAGGGCCCAUAUAGGGGCGCCUCCCCCUUCUCCCCUCCCUUGGCCGCCACCCCUUGGCCCCAUCUAGGGCUGCCGCCCCCCCUAGGGGUGGGAACCCUAGAGGGGGCGCAGCCCUCCCCUUCCCCUAUAUAUAUGAGGCCUUGGGGGCUGCCCAGAACACGCGAUUAAUCUCUCGUUGGUGCAGCCCUGCAUCUCUCUCUCCCUCCUCUUCUGUGGUGCUUGGCGAAGCCCUGCAGGAUAGCCACGCUCCUCCAUCACCACCACGCCGUUGUGCUGCUGCUGGAAGGAGUCUUCCUCAACCUCUCCCUCUCUCCUUGCUGGAUCAAGGCGUGGGAGACGUCACCGGGCUGUACGUGUGUUGAACGCGGAGGUGCCGUGCGUUCGGCACUUGGUCAUCGGUGAUUUGAAUCACGACGAGUACGACUCCAUCAACCCCGUUCACUUGAACGCUUCCGCUUAGCGAUCUACAAGGGUAUGUAGAUGCACUCUCUUUCUACUCGUUGCUAGUCUCUCCAUAGAUAGAUCUUGGUGAUACGUAGGAAAAUUUUUGAAUUUCUGCUACGUUCCCCAACAGUGGCAUCAUGAGCUAGGUCUAUUGCGUAGAUUCUAUGAACGAGUAGAACACAAAAUAGUUGUGGGCGUUGAUUUUGUUCAAUAUGCUUGCCGUUACUAGUCUUAUCUUGAUUCGGCGGCAUCGUGGAAUGAAGCGGCCCGGACCAACCUUACACGUACUCUUACGUGAGACCGGUUCCACCGACAAACAUGCACUAGUUGCAUAAGGUGGCUGGCGGGUGUCUGUCUCUCCCACUUUAGUCGGAUCGGAUUCGAUGAAAAGGGUCCUUAUGAAGGGUAAAUAGCAAUUGGCAUAUCACGUUGUGGUCUUUGCGUAGGUAAGAACCGUUCUUGCUAGAAACCCAUAGCAGCCACGUAAAACAUGCAAACAACAAUUAGAGGACGUCUAACUUGUUUUUGCAGGGUAUGCUAUGUGAUGUGAUAUGGCCAAAGGAUGUGAUGAAUGAUAUAUGUGAUGUAUGAGAUUGAUCAUGUUCUUGUAAUAGGAAUCACGACUUGCAUGUCGAUGAAUAUGACAACCGGCAGGAGCCAUAGGAGUUGUCUUUAUUUAUUUAUGACCUGCGUGUCAACAUAAACGUCAUGUAAUUACUUUACUUUAUCGCUAACCGUUAGCUGUAGUAGUAGAAGUAAUAGAUGACGUGACAACUUCAAGAAGACACGAUGAUGGAGAUCAUGACGAUGGAGAUCAUGGUGUCAUGCCGGUGACGAUGAUGAUCAUGGAGCCCCGAAGAUGGAGAUCAAAAGGAGCAAAGUGAUGAUGGCCAUAUCAUGUCACUAUUUGAUUGCAUGUGAUGUUUAUCAUGUUUAUACAUCUUAUUUGCUUAGAACGACGGUAGUAAAUAAGAUGAUCCCUCAUAAAAAUUUCAAGAAGUGUUCUCCCCUAACUAUGCACCGUUGCUACAGUUCGUCGUUUCGAAGCACCACGUGAUGAUCGGGUGUGAUAGAUCCUUACGUUCACAUACAACGGGUGUAAGACAGUUUUACACAUGCAAAACACUUAGGGUUAACUUGACGAGCCUAGCAUGUGCAUAGACAUGGCCUCGGAACACAGAAGACCGAAAGGUCGAGCAUGAGUCGUAUGGUAGAUACGAUCAACAUGAAGAUGUUCACCGAUGUUGACUAGUCCGUCUCACGUGAUGAUCGGACACGGCCUAGUUGACUCGGAUCAUGUAAUCACUCAGAUGACUAGAGGGAUGUCUAUCUGAGUGGGAGUUCAUAAGAUGAACUUAAUUAUCCUGAACAUAGUCAAAAGGAUUUUGCAAAUUAUGUCGUAGCUCACGCUAUAGUUCUACUGUUUAGAUAUGUUCCUAGAGAAAAAUUAGUUGAAAGUUGAUAGUAGCAAUUAUGCAGACGGUAAAAGGCUUAUGUCCUUAAUGCACCGCUCAGUGUGCUGAACCUCGAACGUGGUCUGUGGAUGUUGCGAACAUCUGACAUACACGUUUUGAUGACUACAUGAUAGUUCGGUAAUGUUAAAUGGUUUAGAGUUGAGGCACCAAAGACGUGUUUUGAAACGUCGCGAAACAUAUGAGAUGUUUCGAGGGCUGAAAUUGGGAUUUCAGGCUCGUGCCCAUGUCAAGAGGUAUAAGACCUCCGACGGUUCUUCUAGCCUACAUACUAAGGGAGAAAAGCUCAAUUGUUGAGCUUGUGCUCAGAUUGUCUGAAUACAACAAUCAUUUGAAUCAAGUGGGAGUUGAUCUUCCAGAUGAGAUAGUGAUGUUUCUCCGAAGUCAUUACCACCAAGCUGCUAGAGCUUCGUGAUGAACUAUGAUAUAUCAGGGACUUAAAUGAUGAUCCUUGAGAUAUUCGCGAUGUUUGACACCACGAAAGUAGAAAUCAAGAAGGAGCAUCAAUUGUUGAUGGUUAGUGAAACCACUAGUUUCAAGAAGGGCAAGGGCAAGAAGGGAUACUUCAAGAAACGGCAAUUCAGUUGCUGCUCUAGUGAAGAAACCCAAGGUUAAACCCAAACCCGAGACUAAGUGCUUCUGUAAUAAGAGGAACAGCCACUGGAGCAGAAUUACCCUAGAUACUUGGUAGAUAAGAAGGCUGGCAAGGUCGAUAGAAGUAUAUUGGAUAUACAUUAUGUUAAUGUGUACUUUACUAGUACUCCUAGUAGCACCAGGGUAUUAGAUACCGGUUCGGUUGCUAAGUGUUAGUAACUCGAAAUAAAAGCUACGGAAUAAACGGAGACUAGCUAAAGGUGAGAUAACGAUAUGUGUUGGAAGUAUUUCCAAUGUUGAUAUGAUCAAGCAUCGCACGCUCCCUCUACCAUCGAGAUUGGUGUUUGCGUUGAGUAUAGACAUGAUUGGAUUAUGUCUAUCGCAAUACGGUUAUUCAUUUGAGGAGAAUAAUGGUUACUCUGUUUAUUUGAAUAAUACCUUCAAUGGUCUUACACCUAAAAUGAAUGGUUUAUUGAAUCUCGAUCGUAGUGAUACACAUGUUCAUGCCAAAAGAUAGUAAUGAUAGUACCACCUACUUGUGGCACUGCCACGUAAGUCAUAUCGGUAUAAAACGCAUGAGGAAGCUCCAUAUUGAUGGGUCUUUGGGCUCACUCAUUCUUGAAAAGUUUGAGACAUGCGAACCAUGUCUAUUGGUGUAUAUGCAUGAAGAAACUCCAUGCAAAUGGACCGUUUGGACUCACUUGAUUUUGAAUCAGUUGAGACAUGCAAAUCAUACCACAUGGGCAAGAUGACUGAAAGCCUCGGUUUCAGUAAAAUGGAACUAGAAAGCAACUUGUUGGAAGUAAUACAUUUUGAUGUGUGCAGUCCAAUGAGUGGUGAGGCGUGUAGUGGAUAUCGUUAUGUUCUUACUUCACAGAUGAUUUGAGUAGAUGUUGAGUAUAUUUACUUGAUGAAUCACGAGUCUGAAUUAUUGAAAGGUUCAAGUAAUUUCAGGGUGAAGUUGAAAGAUCGUCGUGACAAGAGGAUAAAAGAUCUAUGAUAUGAUCAUAGAGAUGAAUAUCUGAAUUACGAGUUUGGCACAGAAUUAAGACAUUGUGGAAAUUGUUUCACAACCGAUACAGCCAGGAACACCAUAGUGUGAUGGUGUGUCCGAACAUCAUAACUGCACCCUAUUGGAUAUGAUGCAUACCAUGAUGUCUCUUAUCGAAUUACCACAAUAAUUUAUGGGUUAGGCACUAGAGACAACCACAUUCACUUUAAAUAGGGCACCACGUAAUUCCGAUGAGAUGACACCAUGGUUUAGAGAAACCUAAGCUGUCAUUUCUUAAAAGUUUGGGGCUGCGACGCUUAUGUGAAAAAGUUUCAGUCUGAUAAGCUCGAACCCAAAGCGGAUAAAUGCAUCUUCAUAGGACACCCAAAGCAGUUGGGUAUACCUCCUGUCUCAGAUCUGAAAGCAAUAAGGGAUUGUUUCUAGAAUUGGGUCCUUUCUCGAGGAAAAGUUUCUCUCGAAAGAAUUGAGUGGGAGGAUGGUGGAAACUUGAUGAGGUUAUUGAACCAUCUCUUCAACUAGUGUGUGGCAGGGCACAGGAAAUUGUUCCUGUGGCACCUACACCAAUUGAAGUGGAAGCUUAUGAUAUUGAUCAUGAGACUUCGGAUCAAGUCACUCCCAAACCUCGUGGGAUGACAAGACUGCGUACUACUUUAGAGUGGUACGUAAUCCUGUCUUGGAAGUCAUGUUGCUAGACAACAAUGAACCUACGAGCUAUGGAGAAGCGAUGGUGGGCCCGGAUUCCGAUAAAUGGCUGAAGGCCAUAUAAUCCGAGAAAGGAUCCAUGUAUGAAAACAAAGUGUAGACUUUGGAAGAACUACUUGAUGGUCGUAAGGCUGUUGAGUAUAGAUGGAUUUUAAAAGGAAGACGGACAAUGAUGGUAAAUGUCACCAUUAAGAAAGCUCGACUUGUCGUUAAGAUGUUUUCGACAAGUUCAAGGAGUUGACUACGAUGAGACUUUCUCACCUGUAGCGAUGCUAAAAGUCUGUUGGAAUUAUAUUAGCAGUUACUGCACUAUUUAUGAAAUCUUGCAGAUAGGAUGUCAAAAAACAUUGUUUCCUCGAUGAUUUAUGAGGAAAGGUUGUAUGUGAUACAACCGGAAGGUUUUGUCAAUCCUGAAAUAUGCUAAUAAGUAUGCAAAGCUCCAGCAAUCCUUCUAAGGACUGGAGUAAGCAUCUCGGAGUUGGAAUGUAUGCUUUGAUGAGAUGAUCAAAGAUUUUGGUGUAUACAAAGUUUAUGAGAAACUUGUAUUUCCAAAGAAGUGAGUGGGAGCACUAUAGAAUUUCUGAUGAAUGUAUGUUGUUGACAUAUUGUUGAUCAGAAAUGACGUAGAAUUUCUGGGAAGCAUAUAGGGUUAUUUGGAAAGUGUUUUUCAAUGGAAAGCCUGGAUUAAGCUACUUGAACAUUGAGCAUCAAGAUCUAUAAGGAUAGAUCAAAACGCUCAAUGGAACUUUCAAAUGAGCACAUACCUUAACAUGAUCUUGAAGGUGUUCAAGAUGGAUCAGUCAAAGAAGGAGUUCUUGCCUGAGUUGUAAGGUAUGAAGUUAAGACUUAAAGCUUGACCACGGCAGAAUAGAGAGAAAGGACGAAGGUCGUCCCCUAUGCUUAAGACGUAUGCUCUUCAGUAUGCUAUGCUGUGUACCGCACCUGAAGUGUGCAUUGCCAUGAGUCAGUCAAGGGGUACAAGAGUGAUCCAAGAAUGGAUCACAGGACAGCGGUCAAAGUUAUCCUUAGUAACCAGUGGACUAAGGAAUUUUUCUCGAUUAUGGAGGUGGUAAAAGAGUUCGUCGUAAAGGGUUACGUCGAUGCAAGCUUAACACCUAUCCGGAUAACUCUGAAUAGAGAUACCGGAUACGUAUAAUGGAGCAACAAUUUAGAAUAGCUCCAAGUAGAACAGUUAUUUGGAAUAGGUCCAAAUAGAACGUGGUAGCUACAUCUAGGAGAUGACAUAGAGAUUUGUAAAGCACACACGGAUCUGAAAGGUUCAGACCCGUUGACUAUAACCUCUCUCACAAGCAUAACAUGAUCAAACCCAGAACUCAUCGAGUGUUCAUCACAUGGUAAAUGUGAACUAGAUUAUUGACUCUAGUAAACUCUUUGGGUGUUACUCACAUGGUGAUGUGACCUUGAGUGUUAAUCACAUAUCGAUGUGAACUAGAUUAUUGACUCUAGUGCAAGUGGGAGACUGUUCGAAAUAUGCCCUAGAGGCAAUAAUAAAUAAGUUAUUAUUAUAUUUCCUUGUUCAUGAUAAUCGUUUAUUAUCCAUGCUAUAAUUGUAUUGAUAGGAAACUCAGAUACAUGUGUGGAUACAUAGACAACACCAUGUCCCUAGUAAGCCUCUAGUUGACUAGCUCGUUGAUCAAUAGAUGGUUACGGUUUCCUGACCAUGGACAUUGGAUGUCGUUGAUAACGGGAUCACAUCAUUGGGAGAAUGAUGUGAUGGACAAGACCCAAUCCUAAGCAUAGCACUAGAUCGUGUAGUUCGUAUGCUAAAGCUUUGCUAAUGUCAAGUAUCAUUUCCUUAGACCAUGAGAUUGUGCAACUCCCGGAUACCGUAGGAAUGCUUUGGGUGUACCAAACGUCACAAUGUAACUGGGUGACUAUAAAGGUGCACUACAGGUAUCUCCGAAAGUGUCUGUUGGGUUGGCACGAAUCGAGACUGGGAUUUGUCACUCCGUGUGACGGAGAGGUUUCUCUGGGCCCACUCGGUAGGACAUCAUCAUAAUGUGCACAAUGUGAUCAAGAAGUUGAUCACGGGAUGAUGUGUUACGGAACGAGUAAAGAGACUUGCCGGUAACGAGAUUGAACAAGGUAUCGGGAUACCGACGAUCGAAUCUCGGGCAAGUAUCGUACCGAUAGACAAAGGGAAUUGUAUACGGGAUUGAUUAAGUCCUUGACAUCGUGGUUCAUCCGAUGAGAUUAUCGUGGAACAUGUGGGAGCCAACAUGGGUAUCCAGAUCCCGCUGUUGGUUAUUGACUGGAGAACAUCUCGGUCAUGUCUGCAUGUCUCCCGAACCCGUAGGGUCUACACACUUAAGGUUCGAUGACGCUAGGGUUAUAAAGGAAGUUAGUAUGUGGUUACCAAAUAUUGUUCGGAGUCCCGGAUGAGAUCCCGGACGUCACGAGGAGUUCCGGAAUGGUCCGGAGGUAAAGAUUUAUAUAUGGGAAGUCCUGUUUUGGUCACCGGAAAAGUUUCGGGGUUUAUCGGUAACGUACCGGGACCACCGGGAGGGUCCCGGGGGUCCACCAAGUGGGGCCACCUGCCCCGGAGGCUUGCAUGGGCUAAGAGUGGUGAGGGACCAGCCCCUUAGUGGGCUGGUGCGCCUCCCACAAGGGCCCAAGGUGCCCAAGAGGUGGAAAGGGGGCAAACCCUAAUGGGAUAUGGGCCUUAGGGCCCGUAUAGGGGCGCCUCCCCCUUCUCCCCUCCCUUGGCCGCCACCCCUUGGCCCCAUCUAGGGCUGCCGCCCCCCCUAGGGGUGGGAACCCUAGAGGGGGCGCAGCCCUCCCCUUCCCCUAUAUAUAUGAGGCCUUGGGGGCUGCCCAGAACACGCGAUUAAUCUCUCGUUGGUGCAGCCCUGCAUCUCUCUCUCCCUCCUCUUCUGUGGUGCUUGGCGAAGCCCUGCAGGAUAGCCACGCUCCUCCAUCACCACCACGCCGUUGUGCUGCUGCUGGAAGGAGUCUUCCUCAACCUCUCCCUCUCUCCUUGCUGGAUCAAGGCGUGGGAGACGUCACCGGGCUGUACGUGUGUUGAACGCGGAGGUGCCGUGCGUUCGGCACUUGGUCAUCGGUGAUUUGAAUCACGACGAGUACGACUCCAUCAACCCCGUUCACUUGAACGCUUCCGCUUAGCGAUCUACAAGGGUAUGUAGAUGCACUCUCUUUCUACUCGUUGCUAGUCUCUCCAUAGAUAGAUCUUGGUGAUACGUAGGAAAUUUUUUGAAUUUCUACUACGUUCCCCAACAUCAACCGCGUGUGUAACCGUGAUGGUCUCUUUCCGGCGGAGUCCGGGAAGUGAACACGGUUGUUGGAGUUAUGCUUGACGUAGGUUGCUAUAGGAUCACUUCUUGAUCAUACUUUUAUCGACCGUGCUUUGCCUUCUCUUCUCGCUCUCAUUUGCGUAUGUUAGCCACCAUAUAUGCUAGUCGCUUGCUGCAGCUCCACCUCAUACCUUUACCUUACCCAUAAGCUUAAAUAGUCUUGAUCGCGAGGGUGCGAGAUUGUUGAGUCCCUGUGGCUCACAGAUACUUCCAAAACCAGCUUGGAGGUGCCUAUGAGACCGUGCAGAUGACGCAACCAAGCUCAGGAGGAGCUCGAUGAAGACUUUGUCCGUUGUGUUGUUUCGUUCUAGUUGAUCAGUAGUGGAGCCCAGUUGGGGUCGAUCGGGGACCUUUGUCGCAUUUGGGGUUCUUCUUUUAUUUUGGUUCCGUAGUCGGACCUUGAUUGUAUCUGUAUGAUGUAAUGCUUUAUUCAUGUAAUUGUGUGAAGUGGCGAUUGUAAGCCAACUAUGUAUCUCUUUCCCUUAUGUAUUACAUGGGUUGUGUGAAGAUUACCUCACUUGCGACAUAUGCCUUCAAUGCGAUUAUGUAUCUAAGUCGUGCCUCGACACGUGGGAGCUAUAGUCGCAUCGAGGGUGUUACAAGUUGGUAAUCAGAGCCUUCCCCGACCUUAGGAGCCCCACUGAUUGAUCGUUUUAGCGGCCGAGUUGUGUCUAGAAAAAAUGUUUUGAGUCUUCUAGGAAUUAUAUAUAUCGGAGAGUUUAGGAAUUCUUUUUACUCCCAGUCCCUUCGUCACUCUGGUAAGGCAUCCUGACAUAGAGUUUUGACUCUUCUCUUCUCAAAUUUCACUAAAAAAAAA